rnacentral:lncRNA from 1 species
CCGAGCCCAAGAGCCCGGUCGCCCUGGCAGCCUUCGACGGCUUCUUCUCUGCUUAACGAGUAGUGUGUGAAUUGAUUCGGAGGAGUUUACCUCUCCCCCAGUGUCAUGUACUGUAACUCCGAUGUGUACAUAACCGUGUGGUUUGCUGAUUUGCAACAAGGAAGAAGUGUGCUUUUUGUACCGCUCUUGGUACCUUCUUGGAGGGCAGAUAUGCCUAUGCGUUUUGCCAUUUUAUCUUUGAAAUUUCGUGUCAAGCUGCCAACAGACUAGUCUGGUUGUCUUGGCAUACUCGAGUGGUUUUGCCGACUGCUGAUGCUUGUUUGAAGCCCCAACCUUCAUCCAAUCCCUUCAAAUCUUUAUUUAUCCCUAAUACAUUAGGUAGAAGUAGUGUAUUGAGUAUUGAGAAAAAUGCAUUAUAAUUUGAGGAGAAAUAUGGGGAUGAAACAUGUCAAAUACACUAGAAUAAAAUGGUGUUAUGGGAUGUGUGGUGAUCGAGUAGUUUGACCAGAAUAAUCCCCAUAAAUUUCCUAAAAUACACUAGUACCAACGAGUAGUUUGACCAGAAUAAUCCCCAUAAAUUUCCUAAAAUACACUAGUACCAAACAAGUCCUUGAUGGUGGCACCCCGACACAGCAAUAGCUCAUCAUAUGAAACCAAAAUGGGGUUAUUAUGGCCCGGUUUAAAGGCGUUAAACAGGGAUGCAAACAUGUUCGCCAAAUCAGCGGCGAUGAGGACCGAAGACCGCCGCGUCAAGUGGCAGGGCUGAAACCGCAUCACCUCCAUACAGGUUUACUAGAUGUGAGAAAAUUCGUUUGGUAGCGUACACGGAGGUCUAGUUUGCACUCACACGAAUCAUAAAGCAGCUCAUAGCAUGGCUAGUUAGAGCAUCUUCAACAAACGAGGCUGGGCGCGCGUAACGACCGUUUUUGCGACGCUGCAAAUUUUUAACACGUCAACAUGUCGCUUCAACAGACGCUAUAACAAAUCAAGCGCGCGUUCAGCUGAUGCACAUAUAAGAUGAUCAAACAUUCAAAAUAUGCAAAGUUUGCACAAACAAAAUGAGCACAAGCAAGUUCAUGACAAACAAGUUCACACAAAUAAAUUAAACAUGAACAAUCAUUCUUCAUCCUCUUCUUUCCGCAAAAAAGAAAAAUUCUUUAUCCUCUUCCUCAUCGUUGGCCUCUUUCGAUUUGUCCGUUUCUUCUUCUGAUUUUUCAUCCUCUUGUUUGUUCUCUUUCUCAUUGAAAAGUCGAAUGGUGUUUGAACUAUCAAUAAAGUAGCAGUUCAUAGCAUGGCUAGUUAGAGCAUCUUCAACAAACGAGGCUAGGCACGCGUAACGACCGUUUUUGUGCUUCAUCAGACGCUGCAAAUUUUUAACACGUCAACAGACGCUAUAACAAAUCAAGCGCGCGUUCAGCUGACGCACAUAUAAGAUGAUCAAACAUUCAAAAUAUGCAAAGUUUGCACAAACAAAAUAAGCACAAGCAAGUUCAUGACAAACAAGUUCACACAAAUAAAUUAAACAUGAACAAUCAUUCUUCAUCCUCUUCUUUCUGCAAAAAAAAUAAUUCUUUAUCCUCUUCCUCAUCGUUGGCCUCUUUCGAUUUGUCCGUUUCUUCUUCUGAUUUUUCAAUCUCUUGUUUGUUCUCCUUUUCAUUGAAAAGUCGAACGGUGUUUGAACUAUCAAUAAAGGUAUCAUACAAGGCAUGUGAGGCACACCGAAAACUCCCAUCCAUCCAUGCCAUCGAAAGCAUGUGAGAACAACUAUGCCAUCGAAAGCAUGUGAGAACAACUAAAAUCAGACUACAUAUGCGCACAUUUGCCAACAACAACAAAAUAAAAACAAAAAUUGUACCUUGUGAGCAUUUCAUCAAGGAUUAUGUGUGCAUUGGCCGCCGACGCAACAAAUUGCGAGGUUUUCACCGCUUCGCGCGGCGGAGGUACGGCCGGCUUCACUCGUGUCUUCUUCUUUAUUACCGCUUUCCNNNNNNNNNNNNNNNNNNNNNNNNNNNNNNNNNNNNNNNNNNNNNNNNNNNNNNNNNNNNNNNNNNNNNNNNNNNNNNNNNNNNNNNNNNNNNNNNNNNNUUGAGGGCCAAGGCAGGAGAGCCACACGGGGCCCACAAGCCCUGUAGCCGCCACCACGGGGGGGGGGGGCUACCAGUCUUGUGGACCCCCUGGAGCUCCCCUGCCCUAGCUCUUUCGCCUAUAAAUUCCCUAAAAUCCCAGAAAAAAAUCAGGGCAUCCACGAAAACACUUUUCCGCCGCCGCAAGCUUCCGUUUCCGCGAUAUCUCAUCUGGAGACCCUUCCCGGUGCCCUGCCGAAGGGGACUUUGGAGUUGGAGGGCUUCUACAUCAACAUCAUCACCUCUCCAAUGACUCGUGAGUAGUCCACUUCAGACCUACACGUCCGUAGCUAGUAGCUAGAUGGAUUCUUCUCUCUCUUGGAUCUUCAAUACAAAGUUCUCCAUGAUCUUCAUGGAGAUCUAUCCUAUGUAAUCCUCUUUGGUGGUGUGUUUGUCGAGAUCCGAUGAAUUGUGGAUUUGUGAUCAGAUUAUCUAUGAAUUGUAUUUGAGUCUUUGCUGAUUUCUUAUAUGAUGAUUUGAUAUCCUUGUAAGUCUCUCCGAGUCUUGGUUUUGUUUGGCCAACUAGAUCUAUGAUUCUUGCAAUGGGAGAAGUGCUUGGUUUUGGGUUCAUACCGUGUGGUGACCUUUCCCAGUGACAGAAGGGGCAGCAAGGCACACAUCAUGUUGUUGCCAUCAAGGGUAAUAAGAUGGGCUUUUAUCAUAGAUAUGAGAUUGUCCAUCUACAUCAUGUCAUCUUGCUUAAGGCGUUACUCUGUUCUUAUGAACCUAAAACACUAGAUGCAUGCUGGAUAGCGGUCGACGUGUGGAGUAAUAGUAGUAGAUGCAGAAAGUAUCGGUCUACUUGCUUUGGACGUGAUGCCUAUAGAUAUAAUCAUUGCCAUAGAUAACAUCACGACUUUGCGCGGUUCUAUCAAUUGCUCGACAGUAAUCCGUUCACCCACGGUCUAAUUGCUUUCAUGAGAGAAGCCACUAGUGAACACCACGGCCCCGGGUCUAUCCAUAACUAUCGUCUCCACUUCCACUUUUACUUUGCUUUUUUACCUUUUUGCUUUCAGUUCUCACUUUGCAAACAAUCUAUAAGGGAUUGACAACCCCUUCAUAGCGUUGGGUGCAAGCUCUUUGUGUUUGUGCAGGUACUUGUGACUCGACGCGAUCCUCCCACUGGAUCGAUACCUUGGUUCUCAAACUGAGGGAAAUACUUACCGCCGCUGUGCUACAUCACCCUUUCCUCUUCAAGGGAACACCAACACAAGGCUCCAAGGCCGCGGGGAAAUCCUUUGCAUAUUUGCCAAGGAAGUCCCUAUAGGCGUAGCCAGUAGCAGCAGGAUUCCUGGCGCCGUUGUCAGGGAAGGUCUGUUGUCACAGUAGCAGAAGGAUUUCUAGAGCCGUUGCCGGGGAGGAGGAUCGCUUGCCGAGGAGUAUCAAGACAAGAAUAAUCUCCCGUCAACACGCCUAUUUCUAGCAUGGGGAAGGGAGAUCAAGUCAAGAUCUAUCAAAGUAGGUGUCACAAACUCAUCUCUUGCAUUUACUUUUUUUGCCAGUUGCCUCUCGUUUUCCUCUCCCCCACUUCACAUUUGCCGUUUUCAUUUGCCUUUCUCCUUUGCCGUUUUAUUUUUCCUUUUCUCCUUUGCCGUUUUCAUUUGCCUUUCUCCUUUGCCGUUUUCUUUUUUCCUUUUGCCGUUCUCUUUUGCCCGUUUCACUCACUUUCUUCCUGCUCGUUUGUGUGUGGGAUAGUCCAUCAAUGGCUAGACCCACCACUCCAAACGAUACCCCUGAGAACGAAGUUCUCAGUUUCAAGCAGAAUGAGGAAGAAAAUUUAAAGGACACUUGGUACAGGAUUUGCAAUGCUCAAAGUAGAUCUACUCGUAAGCAGUCCACUACCGUUCUUCUUCGCAGUUCUUAUGUUGGAAUCUCUCCUUGGAAUAGGUAUAUUCUUGAUACCAUCGUAGGCGGGAAUUUUUUGGGGAUCCAUACCGUUGACUCCUAUGGAGCUAUCAUGAAUUUGGUAGGCUCACCCCCGCUCAUGGUUAAUGGAACUACCUUGACCUUGGAACACGUGAUGCAAAGGCUUGACGCUAUUGAAAACAAAAUUGCCACAAUUGAAUUUAUUGAGGGUUUGGAUGGAAAGAUCCACAAUCAAAUUACUCAGUACGGAUCCAAAGUGGGAAUGGUUUUGAAAAAUUUAAGGGAGAAGGAACCUAUAGUUAAUGAUUCCUCUAGAAUUGGCAAACUAGAAGAUGUCAUAACCAACUUGGGUUGUGCUUUUGCCGCUGUGCAAAAUACUCCAAAUCUCACUCUCAAAAAGACCGUCAAGUCUGUUUUUGUUCCUAAAGCUAGUGGUGAGUCAUCCAAUAAAUAUGAAGACCUUAAGAUGAUAAAUGAUCACGCUACUUAUGGUUUGAGCACCAAAGAUGACUAUACGUGAUUCCAUCACCUUUUGCCUAGCUAAGGGCGUUAAACAAUAGCGCAUGUUGGGAGGCAACCCAACGAAUCUAUCAUUUUUCUUUCUAUUUUGUGUUUUCCACACUUUCAUAAUUCUGUUAUGAUUGUGUUUUUUGUGUUUCUUUUUGCGUUUGUGCCAAGUGAAACCGUUAUGAUUAAUCUUGGGGAUGAUCGUUUGGUCAUGCUGGAAAAGACAGAAACUUUCUGUUAACGAAAAGAAUUUUCAUUUUUUUUAUGUAAGAGAUUUUGAGUUGAUUCUUUUUUGCUUCUGAUUGCUACGCACAUUCUUCAGACUGUUGUAAUUUUUCAGAAUUUUGGAAGUACCAGAAGUAUACGAAGUAUACAGAUUGCUACAGACUGGUCUGCUGUUAACAGAUUCUGUUUUUGUUGAGUUGGUUGCUUAUUUUGAUGAAACUAUGGAUAGUACCGGGGGGUAUUAGCCAUGGAAGAUUGAAAAUACAGUAACCCAACAUCAACAUAAGUAGAAUUUAUUAAGUUUUCUACAGUACCUAAGGAAGUGGUGGUUUGCUUUCUUAUACUAAUGAUAUCACGAGUUUCUGUUUAAAUUUCGUGUUGUGAAGUUUUCAAGUUUUGGGUGAAGUUCUUAUGGACAAAGAGAUAAAGAGUGGCAAGAUCUCAAGCUUGGGGAUGCCCAAGGCACCCCAAGUUGAUUCAAGGAUGCCGUAAAAGCCUAAGCUUGGGGAUGCCCCGGGAAGGCAUCCCCUNNNNNNNNNNNNNNNNNNNNNNNNNNNNNNNNNNNNNNNNNNNNNNNNNNNNNNNNNNNNNNNNNNNNNNNNNNNNNNNNNNNNNNNNNNNNNNNNNNNNUUGAGGGCCAAGGCAGGAGAGCCACAGGGGGCCCACAAGCCCUGUAGCCGCCACCAGGGGGGCCGGCGGCUACCAGGCUUGUGCCCGCCUGGAGCUCCCCUGCCCUAGCUCUUUCGCCUAUAAAUUCCCUAAAAUCCCAGAAAAUAUUAGGGCAUCCACGAAAACACUUUUCCGCCGCCGCAAGCUUCCGUUUCCGCGAGAUCUCAUCUGGAGACCCUUCUCGGUGCCCUGCCGGAGGGGACUUUGGAGUUGGAGGGCUUCUACAUCAACAUCAUCGCCUCUCCAAUGACUCGUGAGUAGUCCACUUCAGACCUACGGGUUCGUAGUUAGUAGCUAGAUGGCUUCUUCUCUCUCUUGGAUCUUCAAUACAAAGUUCCCCAUGAUCUUCAUGGAGAUCUAUCCGAUGUAAUCCUCUUUGGCGGUGUGUUUGUCGAGAUCCGAUGAAUUGUGGAUUUGUGAUCAGAUUAUCUAUGAAUUAUAUUUGAGUCUUUGCUGAUUUCUUAUAUGCAAGAUUUGAUAUCCUUGUAAGUCUCUCCGAGUCUUGGGUUUUGUUUGGCCAACUAGAUCUAUGAUUCUUGCAAUGGGAGAAGUGCUUGGUUUUCGGUUCAUACCGUGUGGUGACCUUUCCCAGUGACACAAGGGGCAGCAAGGCACGCAUCAUGUUGUUGCCAUCAAGGGUAACAAGAUGGGCUUUUAUCAUAGAUAUGAGAUUGUCCAUCUACAUCAUGUCAUCUUGCUUAAGGCGUUACUCUGUGAUACGUCUCCAUCGUAUCAACUUUUCCAAACUCUUUUGCCCUUGUUUUGGACUCUAAUUUGCAUGAUUUGAAUGGAACUAACCCGCACUGACGCUGUUUUCAGCAGAAUUGCCAUGAUGUUGUUUUUGUGCAGAAAUGGAAGUUCUCAGAACGUCCUGAAAAAUUACGUNAUACGUCUCCAUCGUAUCAACUUUUCCAAACUCUUUUGCCCUUGUUUUGGACUCUAAUUUGCAUGAUUUGAAUGGAACUAACCCGCACUGACGCUGUUUUCAGCAGAAUUGCCAUGAUGUUGUUUUUGUGCAGAAAUGGAAGUUCUCAGAACGUCCUGAAAAAUUACGUAGAAUUUUUCUGGAAAAUAUGAAAAAUACGUGCGCAAAGAUCCAUCGGAGGGGAUGGGCCAGUGGGCCACAAGCCCUGUUGCCGCGGCCUCCCCCAUGGCCGCGGCGACCAAGCUUGUGGGGCCCACGUGGGUCUGCCGCCCCCAACUCCAGCUCUAUAAAUUCACUUUCUUUCCGAAAAAAGUCAGAAGAGAAGAUUUCAUCGCGUUUGCGAUACAGAGGCGCCGCCACAUCUUGUUCUUCAUCUGGAGGGCAGAUCUGGAGUCCGUUUUGGGCUCCGGAGAGGGGAAAUCGUCGCCAUCGUCAUCAUCAACCUUCUUCCCUCUCCAAUUCCAUGAAGCUCUUCAUCGUUCGUGAGUAAUCUAUUCGUAGGCUCGCUAGGCGGUGAUGAGUAGGAUGAGAUCUAUCUUGUAAUCGAGUUAGUUUUGACGGGGAUUGAUCCCUAGUAUCCACUAUGUUCUGAGAUUGAUGUUGCUACUACUUUGCCAUGCUUAAUACUUGUCACUAGGGUCCGAGUGCCUGAUUUCAGAUCUCAAAUUAUUAUGUUGUCACCAAUAUAUGUGUGUUUUAGAUCCGAUCUUGCAGGUUGUAGUUACCUACUAUGUGUUAUGACCCGACAACCCCGGAGUGACAAUAACCGGAACCACUCCCGGUGAUGACCGUAAUUUGAGGAGUUCAUGUGUUCACCAAGUGCUAAUGCGUUGUUCCGGUACUUUAUUAAAAGGAGAACCUUAAUAUCCCGUAGUAUCCUUUUGGACCCCGCUGCCACGGGAGGGAUGGACAAUAGAUGUCAUGCAAGUUCUUUUCCCUAAGCACGUAUGACUACACACGGAAUGCAUGCCUACAUCACAUUGACGAACGGGAGCUAGCCACAUAUCUCUCCGUGUUAUAACUGUUGCAUGAUGAAUGUCAUCCAAACGAAUCACCGACCCAUUGCCUACGGGUUUGUCCCACUGCUGCUGUUACUUGUUUUGCUCUGCUGCUAUUACUACUGUUGCUGCUACUGUUACUUGCUUUGCUCUGCUGCUGUCACCACUGUUGCUACUGUUGCUACUUGCUACUGCUAUUACUUGCUACUGUUGCUACUUGCUACUGCUAUCACUACUGCUGUUCCUUGCCACCGCUGAUACUCGUUACACUGCUACUACUUGCUAGAAUACCUUUUUUCUUGCGCCGUUGACGGGAAAGAAUAUUUUCCGUCCACGGUCAACUUCUGGCGCCAUUGAUAUGACCGUUAGGAAUAGUCUGCCAUCAACAAAUCGUUUCUGACACUGUUGUUAUCAUACUACUUUGUUGCUGAUACUUUGCUUGCAGAUACUAAUCUUUCAGGUGCGGUUGAAUCUGACACAUUCAGCUGCUAAUACUUGAGAGUAUCCUUUCACUUCCUGACGGGCGAACCAACAAAUUUGGGUUGAAUACUCUACCCUCGAAAACUGUCGUGAACCCAUGCGCUGGUGGGCCAUUGCAAGACAAUUGCUAAUUGUUGAGCAACUCGGAGCAAUUCUGGCUCUGUUGUCGCGAAGGCAUCAAUUCAGGGACACGUCAACAACAUUCUUCUAGUGUCGUUGCCGGGGACUGCCGUCAGCAGCAUUUUUUUGGCACCGUUGCCGGGGUAGGGAUUGCUAUAUUCUCUGAGUCACUUGGGAUUUAUAUCUGCUGAUCACUAUGAAGAAUCUGAAAGACCCAGAAACCAAAGUCUUGCCCUCAACUACGAGGGGAGGUAAGGAACUGCCAUCUAGCUCUGCACUUGAUUCACCUUCAGUUAUGAGUAAGUUUGCGACAUCACCUCCUUCUAGAAAUCUUGAUAUGUCGCCUGUGCUUGAUGAUGCUUAUGAUGCUACUGCUAGAGAUGCUAUGCCUGAUACUGCUAGAGAUGCUAUGCCUGAUACUGCUUUGCCUGAUGAUGCUAGAGAUGCUAUUUUGCCUGAUGAUGCUAUGCUUGAUACUGCUAGAGAUACUACUUUGCCUGAUGUGCCACUAGGGGUAUUCCUUGAUGCUCAUAUUGCUAGAGUUACUGCCAAUGCUCGUGAUGCUUCUGAAACUGCCGAUACUAUUGAGAUAGAACCUGCUUUUGCUCCUGCUAGAUCUAGCUCUCCUAGAUAUGAAUUGCCUGAUAUACUUGAGGGUUACGUUAUGGAGGGAGAGAUAGCUGAGGAUUUUCUUGCGUGUAAGGAUACCUAUGACACUGAGAAAUUACUUCUCAAGUGGAAGGAAAAAUCUCUGAAAGCUAGGAUGAAAUACGACCCGAAGUUUGCCACUUCACCUAUCUUUAUCACCGAUAAGGAUUAUGAAUUCGCCCUAUAGNNNNNNNNNNNNNNNNNNNNNNNNNNNNNNNNNNNNNNNNNNNNNNNNNNNNNNNNNNNNNNNNNNNNNNNNNNNNNNNNNNNNNNNNNNNNNNNNNNNNAGAGAAACUUACCUGCGCUCACCUGAAGCGGCCCAGCCCAUCAGGGGCACCACUGUCUUCUUCCUCCUCCCAGGAGGAGAAGCAGUUGCGUGCCCGACGCAUCGCCGGGCACCGCCACGUCCCCUAGCCACCUCCUGCUCGCCCCCGUCCUUAUCUCCUCGCCCGUGGAUGCCCCAGACCCCCCCUUGAGCUCAUCCUCCUCUCCUCUCUCUAGGUUCCCCUUCUCUCUCUCUGCUUUCCCUCGUUGCCUCCAUUGCCGAGCUAGAGCUCGAGCUCGCCUCUCUGGUCUCCGGCCUUCCCUCGCCUCUCCGAGAAGCCCAGAAGGACCGCCCCGAUGCCCUGCUCCUCCUCGCCAUUGGAAUCGAGCCCGGACGACCCCUGUCGUCGCCAUCGCCGUUGUCUUCCUCACCUCCGGCCACCGGCCCCCUUCCAUCGAUUCACCCCCUCCGACGCGACCCCGACCUCCCCGUCACCGCAAAUGGAACCGUCGUGAGCUCACCGUCAUUUCCCCUCUCUUUCCACGUUCUCCCGUGCCGUGUAGCCCCGCUCCCCGCCACGGCCGAACCCCGCCGCCGCUUAGGCUCGUCGCCGGCACCUCUCCGGCGACCUAGCCCCCCCUUCGAGCCCCCUGUGCGAUGUGGUCGAGCCUGGGCUACGCCCAAGUGCUCUCAGCGCUUGUUUCCGGCCCCUGUAGUGCCAUCUAGGCAACUCCGGCGAGCCCUCCGCCGCGGGCUUGGUCGCCAACGACCACCCUCCGGUGAGGGCCAACGUGGCCAGUCGUUAGCCAGUACUAACCCCCCCCCCCAGAGCCACUGCCAGAGGGCCCCACGCCUGGUCAAACCCCAAUUAGGGGCUGGUCAGCGCGGGGUUAGCCUCUGGGUCACUGACCAGUGGGCCCCACUGGUCAGGGUUUGACCUGGCCGGCCAGUUGAACUGCUGACGUCAGUACUGAUGCAAUAUUAGUAUUUCUGUUUAUAAAAUAAAUCCAGGAAAUUGCUAAAACUUGUAAAAAUCAUAGAAAUUAAAAUAUAACUCGGAUGAAAAUAAUUUAUAUAUGAAAAAGUAUCAGAAAAAUCCAAGGAAUCUGAUUAUGGCAUUUUCNNNNNNNNNNNNNNNNNNNNNNNNNNNNNNNNNNNNNNNNNNNNNNNNNNNNNNNNNNNNNNNNNNNNNNNNNNNNNNNNNNNNNNNNNNNNNNNNNNNNACUCACUAUAGGGCGGGCAACAUAUUUUAAAAACACCGACAACCGACCGACGGUAGACCGAAUACGGUGCCGCUACGGUCGACCGUUCGGGUACUAGACGGACUCCGAUUGCGAUGAAACUUGACACGCGGCCUACCUAUAUUAAAAUACGACCGCACGUCAAAUAUCAACCCAAUCAGAGAAGGUUUUAUGCACACUUUUAAAACAAGGUUUUGACGAUGCCGCGGGCGCGUGCGUGUGCGGUCGGGCUCAGAACGGACAACGACGAGAACCGGCAACAAACAACGGAUGCAAGUUUUGGAAACUGGCGGCAACGGAGAUGCCGAUGCAAUGCAGAUGAUGCGCAUGAUGCGAUGAUGAUGCAGCAAAAGAAAAUAGACACACGACGAAAACGGAAUAGAAGGGGAAUCUUCUGGAACGUCGGCCUCGGGCUGUCACAACUCUCCUACACUAUAAGAGGAUCUCGCCCCGAGAUCCAAGAAUGAAAGGAAGAGGGGAUAAGAAAGCAAGAGGUAAAACUUAAUCGCUUCUUUGACAAAUGAGUGAAACCAACAUCCUUGAAGGUUGCAAAGAGAUGAGGAAUGAUAAGAGAAACAAGCAAGAAUUCACGGAAAAUUUCGGCAGCACUUCGGUAGGAAAAUGGGACAAAAAAUUCGAUAAGAUAGGAGAAAUAGACAAUAUUCAUUACAAACAACUAAAUAGAACAAGGGAACACUAUGAUCUUGGUAGACCAACAUAAUAGACCCAAAAGAGCAACAUCACAAUGCCUCCGGAACAAUAGAAUAGGAACUAGCUCAUACGGAAGAAGAGAAUGAAGAGAGAAUGACAACUACUCACUCCAAUGAACUUGGCAAGCAUCCUUGCAAGAAGAAUUGGACGGAGUUGUUGGAAAACAACAGCGAAAGAACAAGAAAGUAGUGGGCUUAUGGAAACCUUUUCAAACUAAUGAAGUGACAACCAGCCACUAACAGAACAAGGAUUGAUUGGGAGAAACAAGAUAUGAACAAUUCCUUACACCAAGAGGAUACAUUGAGAACUUGGAUUAAUGACAAGCACCAUGAUAGCAACAAUCCAUAGGAAAAUCUUUAGGUGAAAUCCAAACCAAGAUAGCUCAAUGAAGAAAUCAUGGGUUGAAAACAUCUCAUGAUCAUAGAAUUGGUGGGUUUAAUUAUCUCAUUCUUGAAAGGAAAUCUCUUCGAAACUCCUACACUAACAAGAAUGCUAUAAUACCACCUCAAAGGAUAAAGGAGAACAAUUGCACAUAGAAAUGCAAGAGAAGAAAACUUGAGGUUCUCCAAUAAGAAUCUUGAAGAACACUUUGAGAAUGAAUUGACAUCAUGAGCCGCUCCGGAAGAAGAAUUCAGAUUACUAUGAACAAGAAUAAGAAUUAUGUUAUGCUUAUCCUUCAUCAAAUUAAGUUGAUGAGAAGCAACGGAUUUAGCAUACCACUUAUUCUUCUUGAAAGAACCUUGAAGAGAUAGAGAGAUAAGCACCACUUGAAGCACAAUUGAAUGAAGCACCGGCAAGAAUUCGAGCUCNNNNNNNNNNNNNNNNNNNNNNNNNNNNNNNNNNNNNNNNNNNNNNNNNNNNNNNNNNNNNNNNNNNNNNNNNNNNNNNNNNNNNNNNNNNNNNNNNNNNGAGAUUUGAAAACAAGCGGGGCAACUGGACUACGGGGUCAGAGGGGAUGACUGCUCCACCUAUACUAAGCAGAUUUAAAGUACAGGACUGAAAGUAGCAGUUCAUCAAAAAUAGGUUAUGCAUCAGAUAUAGGAGCUAACUACAACAGUAGCAAAAUACUAAUGCAAGCAGUAGGAAGAAAGACAUAGGCAAUAUAGGAAUGAUCAAGGGGGGGUUUGCUUGCCUUGCUGCUCUGCGGCAAAGGACUGAUCGGCAGGGUCAUAGAUGUACCCGGCAGCAGAGUCAGUCUCGGGGCCUACCGGUAAGAAGAGGGGGAAGAAACAAUAAAUAAUAGCAACGGUGUGUUGGAAUUAUGCCCUAGAGGCAAUAAUAAAUAUAGUUAUUAUUAUAAUUCAUGUAUCAAGAUAACCGUUUAUUAUCCAUGCUAUAAUUGUAUUGAAUGAAGACUUAUAUACAUGUGUGGAUACAUAGACAAAACACUGCCCCUAGCAAGCCUCUAGUUGGCUAGCCAGUUGAUCAAAGAUAGUCACUGUCUUCUGAUUAUGAACAAGGUGUUGUUGCUUGAUAACUGGAUCACGUCAUUAGGAGAAUCACGUGAUGGACUAGACCCAAACUAAUAGACGUAGCAUGUUGAUCGUGUCAUUUUGUUGCUACUGUUUUCUGCGUGUCAAGUAUUUGUUCCUAUGACCAUGAGAUCAUAUAACUCACUGACACCGGAGGAAUACUUUGUGAGUAUCAAACGUCGCAACGUAACUGGGUGACUAUAAAGAUGCUCUACAGGUAUCUCCGAAGGUGUUCGUUGAGUUAGUAUGGAUCGAGACUAGGAUUUGUCACUCCGUGUGACGGAGAGGUAUCUUGGGGCCCACUCGGUAAUACAACAUCACACACAAGCCUUGCAAGCAAUGUGACUUAAUGUAAGUUGCGGGAUCUUGUAUUACGGAACGAGUAAAGAGACUUGCCGAUAAACGAGAUUGAAAUAGGUAUACGGAUACUGACGAUCGAAUCUCGGGCAAGUAACAUACCGAAGGACAAAGGGAAUGACAUACGGGAUUAUAUGAAUCCUUGGCACUGAGGUUCAAACGAUAAGAUCUUCGUAGAAUAUGUAGGAUCCAAUAUGGGCAUCUAGGUCCCGCUAUUGGAUAUUGACCGAGGAGUCUCUCGGGUCAUGUCUACAUAGUUCUCGAACUCGCAGGGUCUGCACACUUAAGGUUCGACGUUGUUUUAUGCGUAUUUGAGUUAUAUGGUUGGUUACCGAAUGUUGUUCGGAGUCCCGAAUGAGAUCACGGACGUCACGAGGGUUUCCGGAAUGGUCCAGAAACGAAGAUUGAUAUAUAGGAUGACCUCAUUUGAUUACCGGAAGGUUUUCGGAGUUACCGGGAAUGUACCGGGAAUGACGAAUGGGUUCUGGGAGUUCACCGGGUGGCAACCCACCCCGGGGAAGCCCAUAGGCCUUGGGGGUGGCACACCAGCCCUUAGUGGGCUGGUGGGACAGCCCAAGAAGGCCCUAUACGCCAUGGGAAGAAAAUCAAAGAGAAAAGAAAAAAAAGGAGGAGGUNNNNNNNNNNNNNNNNNNNNNNNNNNNNNNNNNNNNNNNNNNNNNNNNNNNNNNNNNNNNNNNNNNNNNNNNNNNNNNNNNNNNNNNNNNNNNNNNNNNNUCAACAGCGGCUAAGCAUAUAUUUGGUGGCUAACUUACGAGUACAAGAAAUAAUAGGGAAGAUCUACGCAUAACGGACGUGAGCUACUGAUGAUCAAAAGAAUGAUCCUGAACACCUACCUACGUCAGACAUAACCCCACCGUGUCCUCGAUCGGAGCAGGGCUCACGAAAGAGACAGUCACGGUUACGCACACAGUUGGCAAGUUUUAAUUAAGUUAACUUCAAGUUAUCUAGAACCGGUGUUAAACAAAGCUUCCACGUUGCCACAUAACCGCGGGCACGGCUUUCCGAAAGAUUUAACCCUGCAGAGGUGCUCCAACUAGUCCAUCACAAAUUACCACAAGCCGCAUAGAAAUCCUCAAUCACGAAGCUCGCGAUCUCGUCGGAUUCCCUAGUGGAAAACCUCAACUGUGAGAUUACCCAAAGCAUCACCGGAAUCCCGAUGCACAAGAUAUCUCGUCAAAGGUAAAACUAAUCCAGCAAGGCCGCCCGACGUGUCGACGAUCCCGAUAUGAGUCGCGUACCUCGUUCUCAGGACACGACGGAUGAGCGAUGGUUACCACGCCAAACGCCGAGUUGCCCCGGGUAGCAUUAAUAAGCUGCUCUGUUUUGGACCAACACUCAUGAGGAGCACUGGCCCGGGGGUUUAUUAAAAUAGUCCGCGGGUGCCGGCGGGUCCCUAUGCAUUAUUAUUAGGUUAUUAGGCAAAUGUAGUACCAAAGUUGGGCCUUGCCAGACCAGCUUUAAUCUAAAACGAAUUAUCAAGGGGGUCCCCAUAACAACCCCGAUCGUGUUAGGAGCGCUCAAUUAUGGAACAUAACACCGGUAGCCGGAAACUAAGGGGGCAAAGGUGGAACAAAACACCAGGCUAGAAAGGCCGAGCCUUCCACCUUUUACCAAGUAUAUAGGUGCAUUAAAUUAAAUAGCAUUUAAAUAUGGUGAUAUAACAAGGAACCCAUGUAAUCACAUGGAAUCAACUGCACCUGCAACUAGCAACGCUAUCAACAGGGUUAAGCUAGCAGUAACAUAGCCAAUAAGUGGUUUGCUAGGUCGAACAGGUUGAAGGUUUCAUGGCAUUGUUGAGAGGCUAAUAUUUAACAUGUGGUAGGCAACGAGACAUAAACGGUAGCAACGGUAAAACUAGCAUGGCAAUGAUAGUAAUGGUAUCUGGGGAAAUGGUCAUCUUGCCUGAGAUCCCGCUUGGAAGAAGAACAUCUCUGUGAAGCAGGCGAACCAACGUAGUCGAACGGGUCCUCACAUUCCGACACGCUUGCGGAACUCUAUCGAGACGGAGCAAACCGGAAACAAAUAUCAACACAGAUAUUCACCACACGAUGCACAACAUGAUGCAUACCCUAAUAUGAUGCAUGAUCAAUUCAAUAUGCAAGGGAUGGCAUGGCAAAUCACCUCACGCAAACACUACACAUCAAUUGAAGCUCGAUAUGCAACGGGUUACAUACCGACGAAACUCCACGAUUAAUUAUUUAGUUCACUCCCGUUUAUUUACACGGCAACAUUAAAUGUUGUUAACAUGGCAAGGGGUGAAGCGAUGAUCCUACGUGUCAUCCUAGUCGGUUUAACUCGCGGAACAAGAGCGGAACUACGGCACGGGAGACAUGCAACACAAGAUCAUAUGCCAUGAAUGCGUCAUGCACGCAAGUUCAAACAUCACGGGCAAGAAGAGAAGGAAACAUGUGUCGCCACGGCAAGCGAGAGGGAACCAUGGCGGCAAGACGGAAACGAAGCCACGACAACGUUCCCAUCCCGAUACUCGUCGAGAUAUCGUGCCAACGAUCUGGAAGCGUGUGCGGGAUCACUAAAUAAGAAUGGGGUGAUCCCGUAUAUCGGGUUCCCAUGUGUCGAGGCACGACGAAAGAAGACAACGGGCAACGGGCCACAUACGGUGCAAACAUACAUUCAACUCAUACAACACAUGCAUACGGUUCUCGACGCGUACCAACGGUAUACNNNNNNNNNNNNNNNNNNNNNNNNNNNNNNNNNNNNNNNNNNNNNNNNNNNNNNNNNNNNNNNNNNNNNNNNNNNNNNNNNNNNNNNNNNNNNNNNNNNNNGUCGUGUGAUUAGAUUUAUUCGUUGCAUCGUCAUGUAGUUUGCAUCAUCGCAUCAUGCAUGGCAUCAUGUCAACUGUGUUUAGUCGGUGUCGCCUGCUGCUCCGUGUUGUUGGGUGAUAGUGCUUCAUGAGUGGCGUUGUUUUGUUGGAGUGAUGAAAGAGGGUGCGUGAGAGCCACCGCUAAGCCCUGUUGCACCGCGGACCUAAAACCUUCUCUCCCCUCUCAUUUCCUUUUUGUGGUUUGGCUAAAUACUUUAGUUUAGUUCCCUAUUUUAAAAAUUAAAGAUUCGUCUUCUUUUAAAGAAAAAACAUUUUAUUAAAUGUGGAGGCAACCCCUUGAGUUUUCUUCAUUUUCUCCUUUUGUUUUAUCUUUAAACAAUCUCAUUUUCUUAUCUCUUUUAAAGAACUUUUAUUUUACACUUUAAAUAAAAUAGGUUUAUUUUAUUCUUUUAAAAAAGGGUUUUGAUUUUUAAUUCUUUAAAAGGUUUCAUUUUACUCUUCGAAAAGGUUUCAUUUUUAUUUGUUUAAAGAGCCCGAUCUAUUUUUAUAGUUGGAGCAUGUUUUAAGGAGCCCAAAAGUAUUUUUGUUUUAGUAAAUUCCUUUUCUUCUGGUUGUGGGUUCCUCUUUUUUUUUUAAAAACCAGCUAUUUUAUUUUUUUGUGCAAGACAUUUUUUUAUUUUAGAAGGAGAGGACCCAGACCAAGGCCCAGCCGGCCAAGGCCCAGGCCCCCUCCAACCCUAGCGUCGUGCUGCGCCUCUCCCUCGUCACCCACAGCGCCGUCUCCUCCCGAUUCUCGUCUCCUCGUUCCCUGCUCCGCCCUGCCGCCUCCAGGUCCCCUUGCCUCGCCGUGGCCACCUCCCUCGCCCUCUCUUCUCCCCUCUACGCGCCGCCAGCCCCAGGCCCGAGCCGCACCGCCCUGCCAGCGCCGAGCCCCCUGCUCGCCGGCCUCCCCUGGUCCUCCUCGCCAUGCGGUCUCCCGCGCGCAGCCGUCCAUCUGCACGUCGAGCCGCCUCUCUGCUCCCCGUCCCCUGCGCCCGCAUCGCCGCCGGUGCCCGACCUGCGCGCCGCCCUCGCCCCCGAGUUCCCCGCGUGCUCGCCCUCGGCCUCGAGCUCGCCGCCCCGGUCGCAGCCUCCCUGCCAUGGCGACCUCGCCGUUCCCCGCGUCGCCCCUCNNNNNNNNNNNNNNNNNNNNNNNNNNNNNNNNNNNNNNNNNNNNNNNNNNNNNNNNNNNNNNNNNNNNNNNNNNNNNNNNNNNNNNNNNNNNNNNNNNNNGACUCACGGGAAGAUAUCACAACACAACUCUAGACACAAAUAAAAUAACAUCAGCUUCAUAUUACAAGCCAGGGGCCUCGAGGGCUAGAAUACGAAAGCUCGAUAAACACACGAGUCAGCGGAAGCAACAAAAUCUGAGUACAGACAUAAAACAUGGGGUGCCUUAGAGAAGGCUAGCACAAAAGAUACAACGAUCGAAUGAGGCGAGGCCUCCUACCUGGGAACCUCCUAACUACUCCUGAUCAUCAGCGGCCUCCACGUAGUAGUAGGCACCGUCGGGGUAGGAGUCGUCGUCGGCGGGAACCUCCAUCUCCUGGGCUCCAUCAUCUGGUCGCAGCAACGGAUCGAGGGGACAAGAGGGGGAGCAAAGCAGAAGUGAGUACUCAUCCAAAGUACUCGCAAGUCUUACAUCAGAACUAUUAUAAUUAUGCAUCAGUAUCAAAGAAGGGGGGGCUAUAUGUGGACUGACUGCAGCAAUGCGAGAAUAAAGAGAGAAGGCCUAGUCCUAUCGAAGACUAGCAUCUUCAGGGUCUUGCAGCAAUAGACGAGAGUAGAACAGGGGUAACACAUUAAAAGUCAUAUUGUUGCAGCAAUAUUAAAGUGAGGUCAUGCCUAAAGAUCCUCCCUCGACUCCCUGCGAGGAAGCAAUCCCGAGGCAAACUAAUUCCAGUUAAGUAACAAUUGUAGUUGUAUAAGAUCGGGGCACAACUCCAAGUCGUCCUNNNNNNNNNNNNNNNNNNNNNNNNNNNNNNNNNNNNNNNNNNNNNNNNNNNNNNNNNNNNNNNNNNNNNNNNNNNNNNNNNNNNNNNNNNNNNNNNNNNNAGUUGCUACUCAUGCUAAGUGGUUUCAACUAUUUACUGUGACAAAAUCAGGUCAUGCAAAGGAAUGGGUUCAACUACCGAUAACAUGUACAGUUGAAUCGUGUUUGUCCUAACGCAGUAAAAGAGAGCAGGAGCGAGAGAGUGGGUUUAUUUCAAUAUGCUCAAGGGGGUUUGCUUGCCUGACACGUCUGAAGAUAGCAAUGAGUCUUCAUCAAUGUCAACGAUCACAUCGUCGGAAACAUCGUUUACCGAGAGGGAACAACACCGGCAAACAAGAAGGAACAACAAUUACUUCACAGAAAUGCAACACUAUGAUGCAUGCUCAAGACAUGAAAUGAAAGGUGGCAGGCCUAAUGUGGCUAUCAUUACUUAAAUUGAAGUUGGUUUGAAUUAGGAUCCAAACAUCACUUCAAGCCGGUUAUUUUUCCGGAUACCCUUUUAAUUGAUUCAACCUGAAGCUCAAAACAAAUUGUUCCAACAUGUAUGGAGUUAGUAUCUUGAGGUACUGAUUUGCAUUGACCCUUGUUUGGUCAUAACAAUUGAAGUGAAAAUCAAAUAAGUAUCAAUUUCCAACUCCAAACUAUUUAUUAAAUUUACCCUAUUCAUCAUUUUGCCUAUUUAGUGUUGUUAACUUUUUCAAACAUGCAUGAAAAUGCCAUAAUCAGAUUCCUUGGAUUUUUCUGAUACUUUUUCAUAUAUAAAUUAUUUUCAUCCGAGUUAUAUUUUAAUUUCUAUGAUUUUUACAAGUUUUAGCAAUUUCCUGGAUUUAUUUUAUAAACAGAAAUACUAAUAUUGCAUCAGUACUGACGUCAGCAGGUCAACUGGCCGGCCAGGUCAAACCCUGACCAGUGGGGCCCACUGGUCAGUGACCCAGAGGCUAACCCCGCGCUGACCAGCCCCUAAUUGGGGUUUGACCAGGCGUGGGGCCCUCUGGCAGUGGCUCUGGGGGGGGGGGUUAGUACUGGCUAACGACUGGCCACGUUGGCCCUCACCGGAGGGUGGUCGUUGGCGACCAAGCCCGCGGCGGAGGGCUCGCCGGAGUUGCCUAGAUGGCACUACAGGGGCCGGAAACAAGCGCUGAGAGCACUUGGGCGUAGCCCAGGCUCGACCACAUCGCACAGGGGGCUCGAAGGGGGGGCUAGGUCGCCGGAGAGGCGCCGGCGACGAGCCUAAGCGGCGACGGGGUUCGGCCGUGGCGGGGAGCGGGGCUACGGGGCAUGGGAGAACGUGGAAAUAGAGGGGAAAUGACGGCGAGCUCACGACGGUUCCAUUUGCGGUGACGGGGAGGUCGGGAUCGCGUCGGAGGGGUUGAAUCGAUGGAAGGGGGCCGGUGGCCGGAGGUGAGGAAGACAAUGGCGAUGGCGACGACAGGGGUCAUCCGGGCUCGAUUCCAAUGGCGAGGAGGAGCAGGGCAUCGGGGCGGUCCUUCUGGGCUUCUCGGAGAGGCGAGGGAAGGCCGGAGACCAGAGAGGCGAGCUCGAGCUCUAGCUCGGCAAUGGAGGCAACGAGGGAAAGCAGAGAGAGAGAAGGGGAACCUAGAGAGAGGAGAGGAGGAUGAGCUCAAGGGGGGGUCUGGGGCAUCCACGGGCGAGGAGAUAAGGACGGGGGCGAGCAGGAGGUGGCUAGGGGACGUGGCGGUGCCCGGCGAUGCGUCGGGCACGCAACUGCUUCUCCUCCUGGCAGGAGGAAGAAUACAGUGGUGCCCCUGAUGGGCUGGGCCGCUUCAGGUGAGCGCAGGUAAGUUUCUCUCUCUCUCUUUUCCUAUUUUUCUUUUAUUUUCUUUCUGGCAUUUAGAUUUAGGAUUUUAAUAAAACAUUUAAUCAUUUUAUAAAACCCUAAAAUAGUAUUAUGUGACAGUAGUAAAAAUAAUCAAUGCCACAAANNNNNNNNNNNNNNNNNNNNNNNNNNNNNNNNNNNNNNNNNNNNNNNNNNNNNNNNNNNNNNNNNNNNNNNNNNNNNNNNNNNNNNNNNNNNNNNNNNNNAUUGAAUUCUUGGUUCUUGGUUAACUUUUCUGUGUGUGGGUUCUUAAGCUUAUGGUCUGUUGGGGAACAUUGCUGAGAAACAAAAAAUUUCCUACGCACACGCAAUACCUAUCCAUGGUGAUGAUCAUCUACCAGAGGGGAGAGUGAAUCUACAUACCCUUGUAGAUCGCUAAGUGGAAGCAUAUAUAACGCGUUUGAUGUAGUGGAACAUCUCCGCGAUUCAAAUCACAGCGUGUCCCGUGAUCUCAUCACGAUCCAUCCCGAUCUAGUGCCGAACGAACGACACCUCCGCGUUCAGCACACAUACAACUCGAUGACAAUCCCCACCUUGUUGAUCCAGCAAGAGGGGUGGAGAGGUAGAUGAGUUAUCCAACACGGAGGAAUGGUGGUGGUGAUGGUGGAUCUAUUCCAGCAGGGCUUCGCCUAAGCGUUGCUGAAAAACCGAUCUAGAGGAAGAACAAAUCUAGAGAGAAGUAGAGGGAGCAUGUGGCAAUUAGGGUUAGCCCUCACCUUUAAAACCUCUAGUAUAUAUAGGAGGGAGGGAGGGGAUGAGGCAGCCUCAAACCCUCAAGGUUUGGCCGAAAUUGGAGGUGCAGAAGUCCUACUCCAAUCCCACCAAGGGUAGGAUUCCCCUUCUCCACUUGGAAACCCUUUCCACCUUUUCCACCUUUGGGUUUCUUUCCUUCCCACCUCCAAUCCGCCUUGGGCUUUAUGGAGGCUUCGUACAGCCCACUAAGGCCUGGUCCAGAUCCUCCCACAGCCCAUGAGACCCUUUGGGGUGGGUGGGCCCACCUGGUGGACCCCAGAAACCCAUUCGUCACUCCCGGUACACUACCGAAAAUGUCUGAAACUUUUCCGGAGUUCAAAAACCACUUUCCUAUAUAUCAAGAUUUACCUCCGGACCAUUUCGGAGCUCGUCGUGAUGUCCAGGAUCUCAUCUGGGACUCCGAAAAACCUUCGGUUACCAACACCUAUAACUCAACUAUACCGAAACGUCACCGAACCUUCAGUGUGCAGACCCUGCGGGUUCGAAAACUAUGCAUACAUGACCUAAGACACUCCCCAGUCAAUAACUGAUGACCCUCAAGUAUAGGGGACCUAUCGUAGUCCUUUCGACAAGUAAGAGUGUCGAACCCAACGAGGAGCAGAAGGAUCCGACAAGUGGUUUUCAACAAGGUAAUAUAUGCAAGCACUGAAAUUGUCGGUAACAAGUAGUUGUGUGGUGAGAUGAUUCGUAGCAAGCAACAAGUAACAAAAGUAGCAAUGGUGCAGCAAAGUGGCCCAAUCCCUUUUGUACAAGGGACAAGCCUGGACAAACUCUUAUAGGAGGAAAAACACUCCCGUGGACACACGGGAAUUUCUGUCAUGCUAGUUUUCAUCAUGUUCAUAUNNNNNNNNNNNNNNNNNNNNNNNNNNNNNNNNNNNNNNNNNNNNNNNNNNNNNNNNNNNNNNNNNNNNNNNNNNNNNNNNNNNNNNNNNNNNNNNNNNNNNNNNNNNNNNNNNNNNNNNNNNNNNNNNNNNNNNNNNNNNNNNNNNNNNNNNNNNNNNNNNNNNNNNNNNNNNNNNNNNNNNNNNNNNNNNNNNNNNNNNNNNNNNNNNNNNNNNNNNNNNNNNNNNNNNNNNNNNNNNNNNNNNNNNNNNNNNNNNNNNNNNNNNNNNNNNNNNNNNNNNNNNNNNNNNNNNNNNNNNNNNNNNNNNNNNNNNNNNNNNNNNNNNNNNNNNNNNNNNNNNNNNNNNNNNNNNNNNNNNNNNNNNNNNNNNNNNNNNNNNNNGAUCUGAACAUAAACUCUUCCACCAAGUAAUCCAACUAGCAUCAACUACAAAGAGUAAUUAACACUACUAGCAACCUUACAAGUACCAAUAGGAGUCGCGAGAUGGAGAUUGGUUACAAGAGAUGAACUAGGGUUUGGAGAUGAGAUGUUGCUGAUGAAGAUGUUGAUGGUGAUGAGUCCCCUCCGAUGAGAGGAGUGUUGGUGAUGACGAUGGCGACGAUUUCCUCCUCCGGGAGGGAAGUUUCCCCGACAGGAUCGUCCUGCCGGAGCUCUAGAUUGGUUCUGCUCAAGUUCCGCCUCGUGGUGGCGGCGAAUCCUCCGAAAAGCCUCUUCGUGAUUUUUUCCAGACCGAAACCCUUCUUGUAGCAAAAGAGGGGGGCAAGUGGGCUAGCAGGGAGCCCACAAGCCCCCUAGGCGCGGCCAGGGGGGUGGCCGCGCCUAGCAGGCUUGUGGCCACUUGCUGGCGCCCCUGUGGCACUUCUUCGGCCCAGUAUUUUUUAUAAAUCCCAAAAAAAACCAUGUUGAUUUUCGGCUUUUGGAGUUGCGCAGAAUAGGCAUAUCAAACUUGCUCAUUUUUAGGCCAGAAUUCCAGCUGCCGGCAUUCUCCCUCUUCAUGUAAACCUUGCAAAAUAAGAGAGAAAAGGAAUAAGUAUUGUACCGUGAAGUGAAAUAACAGCCCAAAAAGCGAUAAAUAUCAACAUGAAAGCGUGAUGCAAAAUGGACGUAUCAACUCCCCCAAGCUUAGACCUCGCUUGUCCUCAAGCAAAAGCCUAGAUCAAUAAACAUGCCCACAUGUUUAGGGAGAGAGGUGUCGACAAAACAAGAUACGAACAUGCGGGCAUCAUGAUCAUGAUCAGAACAGCAAUACCAUCAUAUCAUCUCUUAUGCUAAAGUGACAAUUCAUUCACAAAGUAAAGUAUGGAUCAAGAACCUUACUGAGAAUUAACAACCGAUGGCCUUUAGUCAUUGAAGCAAUUGCAAUUUAUCACAACAUCAGAAAGAGUCAAAUAAGAGCUUGUAAAGCAAUCCACAUACUCAAUCAUCCUUUCGUUCUCUACAAUUGCUACAACUCACGUGGUACUCAUGAGAUCAAAGUUUCAGUUGGACACACAGAAAGAUAGGGGCUUAUAGUUUUGCCUCCCAACUGCUUACCUCAAGGGUAAUGUCAACAAUAAUAAUUCAUGAAUACUUACUUCCAAGUUGACAUAUGAAUAUAGAUCUUUCCCUAGCAUAUGACGUUAGCCAAGAUAAAGGAGAAAUAAGGAAUUGGUGAAGAUCACCAUGACUCUUUCAAGGGCAAAAAGUAAAGGUACAAGAUAGGCCCUUCGCAGAGGGAAGCAGAGGUUGUCAUGCGCUUUUGAGGUUUGGAUGUGUGUCCUCUUAGUGCGGAGGAACGUCACUUUAUAUUGCCUCCUGUGAUAAAGAACUUUAUUAUGCAGUCUGUCGCUUUUAUGUCUUCCUCAUCACAGGUUCGUACAAAGCUUAUUUCCACACACUAAUAGAUCAUACAUAUUUGGGAGCAAUUUUUAUUUCUUGCACCGAUGACAACUUACUUGAAGGAUCUUAUUCAAUCCAUAGGAAGGUAUGGUGGACUCUCAUGGCAAAACUGGGUUGAAGGUUUAUGGAUGCACAAGUAGUAUCUCUACUUGGUGCGGGAGUUUUGGCUAAUAUGAGGUGGAAGCAAUCGUCACAUGCUAAGGGAUCUCUAAUCAUAUAACAUUGUUCAGAACCAAGCAAACACAAUUCAUUAUGUUGUCUUCCUUGGACAACAUCUACUUCUAAGCAUGCAAUAGUUUAGUGAGUGUCCACAAUCAUAGAUGGUGUCAAAGAUGAGAUAUUUAUAUGUGAACCUCUCCUUCUUUAUCACUUCCUUUUAAUUGCAACAAUGACCAAGGUCUACGUUUGUCUACCCUCAACAAGUUUCAAUCAUCAUUCUUUUUAUAUGUGGAGCCAUCACUUCCCAUAAGAUCAUUACAUGAUCUUUCAUGCUUUUGUUCUUUUCUCAUCCUUUUGAUCAUGACAAGAGACAAAGCCCUUAACCAAGACACUCUUUAUUAUAUGGCUCACGAGCUCGAAUACAUCAGGGGUGACACAAAGCAAAACUCAAGCCUAAAACACUAAGACUUUUAUUCUACUAGAGAAAGAGAAAACUUAAAAGGAACAAACUAAAACAAAGGUAAAGGCAAAAGAGGUGAUGGUGAUACGAUUCCGGGGCAACUCCCCCAAGCUUGGCACAAGCCAACGGGAUUGCCCAUACCCAUGCUCAGUUGUCUUUCUUUGGAGGUGAUGGUGGUGGAGUUGUUGCAAUCUUUGAUUCCAAGAGGGCCAUUAAUCUUUAAUUUAUACCUUGGAGAUCUGUGAUAUGUUCCUCCAGCAAAACAACUUCACGAGCGAGAUAAGUAUUGCGAGCAUGAGUUGUUUCACAAGACCUCAAGAGUUCAAUCAAGGAUGGAGACAGUAGGUGGAAGUAGGGUUGGAGGAAAUCCACUUCUUCAACUUCUUCCUUGUUGAGCACAGAUUGCACUUCAUCCCACGCCUGAUUCUUCUCCUUAGUUUUGCCCUUGGUUUCUUUAGCUAGCCUUUACUUAGCCUCCAUGACCUCCAUCCUUUUUAGAUCAACACUUACUUCUCCAUAAACUUGAGGGAGAUUGUUCUCCCCCACAGAUUCCUGAGACAACAUCUUGCUCUAAAUUUGCGACAGAAAACAGGCUCGAAAUGAAAACAGAGGAAAUCUGCAUGAUACAAGGGUCAGACCUUUCGGGAGAUUAUAUAAUGAUUCUUUUCAGACCAGAAAGAGUACUCCGCACGAAAAUGGAGUCCGGGAGGCACACAAGGUGGCCAGAAGCCCCCCCAGGCGCGGCCAGGGGGUGGGCCCGCGCCUGGCAGGCUUGUCGCCUCCUCGCACGCUUUCCGGACUACUUCCAAUUUUUCUAUUUUUUCAAAUAUUCCAAAACGGAGAAAAAAAUCCUACUGGAAAAGUUUUGGAGUCUGUUUUCUUACCGAAUCACAUACCUCUUCGUUUUUGGAGUCUCGAACAGGCUGAUAAAUAUCCCUUAGGUAUUCUUCCGGAGUUCUGGUAUUGAUAAUAUUGCUUUCAACAUUAAUGGGAGUACGUGAGAUAUAAUGCUUGAUUCUCUGUCCAUUUACCACUCUCGGACAAUCACCUUCCAUGUUGUUGAUCUUGAUAGCACCGGAACGAUAUACUUCCUCAACAAUAUAGGGAUCUUACCAUUUAGAGAGAAGCUUGCCUGCAAAAAAGUCUUAAACGAGAAUUAUAUAGCAAGACAUAAUCACCUACAUUGAACUCACACUUUUGUAUCCUCUUAUCAUGCCACCUCUUAACCUUUUCUUUGAACAACUUGGCAUUCUCAUAUGCCUGAGUUCUCCAUUCAUCAAGCGAGCUAAUGUCAAAUAACCUCUUCUCACCAGCAAGUUUGAAAUCAAAGUUGAGCUCUUUGAUUGCCCAAUAAGUUUUAUGCUCUAGCUCAAGAGGUAAAUGACAUGCUUUACCGUACACCAUUUUGUACGGAGACAUGCCCAUGGGAUUCUUAUAGGAAGUUCUAUAAGCCCGCAGUGCAUCAUCGAGCUUCUUAGACCAAUUCUUUCUAGACCUGUUGACAGUAUUUUGCAGAAUCAGUUUAAUCUCUCUAUUGCUUAGCUCUGCUUGACCACUGGACUGAGGGUGAUAGGGAGACGCAAUUCUAUGGUUGACAUCGUACUUAGCAAGCGUUUUACGGAAAGCACCAUGAAUGAAAUGUGAACCACCGUCGGUCAUUAGAUAUCUAGGGACUCCAAAUCAAGGGAAAAUAACUUCUUUAAGCAUCCUGAUAGAGGUGUUGUGAUCAACACUACUAGUGGGGAUAGCUUCUACCCACUUAGUGACGUAGUCAACAGCAACUAGGAUAUGAGUAUACCCGUUGGAUUUUGGAAAAGGUCCCAUAUAAUCAAAGCCCCAAACAUCAAAUGGUUCAAUGACAAGUGAAUAGUUCAUAGGCAUGUCCUGACGUUUACUGGUAUUACCUAUUCUUUGACAUUCGUCACAAGACAAGACAAAUUUACGAGCAUCCUUGAAGAGAGUGGGCCAAUAGAAACCUGAUUGCAAUACCUUGUGUGCAGUUCUAUCUCCCGCAUGGUGUCCUCCGUAGGCCUUGGAGUGACACUUCUGUAGGAUUUGUCCCUGUUUAUGUUCAGGUACACAACGUCUAAUAACACCAUCUACUCCUUCCUUAUAAAGGUGAGGAUCAUCCCAAAAGUAAUGUCUCAAGUCAAAGAAGAAUUUCUUCUUUUGCUGGUAUGUGAAACUAGGUGGUAUAUAUUUGGCAACGAUAUAGUUUGCAUAAUAAGCAUACCACGGUGCACUACGUGAAGCAUUGAUGACACUCAAUUGCUCACCGGGAAAGCUAUCAUCAAUAGGUUGUGGGUCAUCAAGAAUGGUCUCCAACCUAGACAAGUUAUCUGCUACUGGGUUAUCAGCACAAAACAAAACAAAAGAAAAAGAGGAAAUUAGAAAGAGGAAAUAAUAGANUUCAACAUGAAAGUUGAUCAGCACAACGAGACGAACCCGGAUACACGGUCCAUUCGUGUGUCACGCGUCCCUAGCAUAGCAAACAUGGAACAUUUCCAUCGUUUCUAGUAUGACCGGUAGUAGCCCGAGACCCGAAAAAUAUUGUCAGAUAUUCUUCCGACCCGUCUAUGACGGAUGUUGCUGCGUUAGCUCAUGUCUAGCCUACAUCUUGCCAUGUCAUGCUUUGUGUUGCACCAUUGCUAUUAUUUAUUGUUUCUUCCCCCUCUUCUUACCGGUAGACCCCGAGACUGACGCUGCUGCUGGGUACAUCUACGACCCUGCCGAUCAGUCCUUUGCCGCAGAGCAGCAAGGCAAGCAAACCCCCCUUGAUCAUUCCUAUAUUGCCUAUGUCUUUCUUCCUACUGCUUGCAUUAGUAUUUUGCUAUUGUUGUAGUUAGCUCCUAUAUCUGAUGCAUAGCCUAUUUUUGAUGAACUGCUACUUUCAGUCCUGUACUUUAAAUCUGCUUAGUAUAGGUGGAGCAGUCAUCCCCUCUGACCCCGUAGUCCAGUUGCCCCGCUUGUUUUCAAAUCUCGAUCUCUGAUCGACGAGCCAGACCUGACACAACACUUACACCCCCUUCGUUGUACGAUGCUACAAGGAUACUAUCGGGUACCGAGGGUGACACCUCGCUAAGUACUCCUGAUGAUAUCUCUGUAGUAUAGCUAGUCGGUCGUGGUUAUCGAGGGUGAUUCCUCUUUCACCAUUCCCAAUGAUGCCUCUGUCGUGCAACCCCUCAAGUGUGGGACCCCCAAGGGUGAUUCCUCUAAGCCCACCUUGACGGGUACAUCAUUCGGAAUCCAACUAGGGUGAUACCUCGGAUCCCCCCCGAUGUUACAACCACACAGUUACUCGACCAUGUUACUGGGAUCGUUGAUGUUUAGUUGUAAGACGGGUGGAUUCCCGUGAGACUGUGUUGUUGGCCUAAUUAAAAUGUUAAUGGAUUUGGGUAUUUGAUCUGGGUUGGUUGGAGACCUUUUCGCACUAACCUGCUACGUGGGAAGAAUUAUGGGUACUCGGCGUCACGGUAUCAGCCGAAGCUUUUCAGAUGUCAGCAAUCGUAGUGGCGCAUGCCCGAGUGGUCUCGAGAUGCAUUGCGCUUGUGAUUAAGGGAUGCUAGGACUGACGUUGGCCGCCCUCGCAUCGUGCAGGAGCGCGGAGGGGAACUGGGCCCAUGAACCCUUUGCGCUUAGGAUUUAGACCGGCGGGCUGACCUCUCUGAUUAGUCUUAGGUGGGGCUGCGACGUGUCGAUAUUCCGAGGCCGGGCAGGACCCAGAAAAGUAUGUCCGGCCAGAGUGUUAUCGAGCGUGACAGGACAUGUGGUGCACCCCUGCAGGGAUGAAAAUUAACUAUUCGGAUAGUCGUGUCCACGGUUAUAGGACGACUUGGAGUUGUGCCCCGAUCUUAUACAACUACAAUUGUUACUUAACUGGAAUUAGUUUGCCUCGGGAUUGCUUCCUCGCACGGAGUCGAGGGAGGAUCUUUAGGCAUGACCUCACUUUAAUAUUGCUGCAACAAUAUGACUUUUAAUGUGUUACCCCUGUUCUACUCUCGUCUAUUGCUGCAAGACCCUGAAGAUGCUAGUCUUCGAUAGGACUAGGCCUUCUCUCUUUAUUCUCGCAUUGCUGCAGUCAGUCCACAUAUAGCCCCCCCUUCUUUGAUACUGAUGCAUAAUUAUAAUAGUUCUGAUGUAAGACUUGCGAGUACUUUGGAUGAGUACUCACUUCUGCUUUGCUCCCCCUCUUGUCCCCUCGAUCCGUUGCUGCGACCAGAUGAUGGAGCCCAGCAGAUGGAGGUCCCCGCCGCCGACGACUCCUACCCCGACGGUGCGUACUACUACGUGGAGGCCGCUGAUGAUCAGGAGUAGUUAGGAGGUUCCCAGGCAGGAGGCCUCGCCUCGUUCGAUCGUUGUAUCUUUUGUGCUAGCCUUCUCUAAGGCACCCCAUGUUUUAUGUCUGUACUCAGAUUUUGUUGCUUCCGCUGACUCGUGUGUUUAUCGAGCUUUCGUAUUCUAGCCCUCGAGGCCCCUGGCUUGUAAUAUGAAGCUGAUGUUAUUUUAUUUGUGUCUAGAGUUGUGUUGUGAUAUCUUCCCGUGAGUCUUUGGGUUUGAUCGUACACAUUUGCGUAUAUGAUUAGCAUAUGAUUAAAUCGAGGGCGUCACAAGUUGGUAUCAGAGCCGACUGCCUCUAGGUAGCCCCCUUUCCAACUCCUUGGCCGAAGUUUAGUCCAGUGUUUGAAAUACUUUACUAACACUGAUGUUGUGCCUUACGGGCCCACAUCUCAAUUGGGUGGUAUUAGUAUCUUUUACUCCUUCCUAUACUCUGGGUUCUACUCUCUCUUCUCUUUCGGGUCAAAGAUUUUACUAACUCUAACAUUAGGUUCUCGAAUCACAUCGACCCGGAGCGCUGGACUAUCUACUCUUUCUCCUGAAUAUAUAUUACACACACUGUCUUUUGACAUCCGUCAAUCUUAUUUUCAGAUGCGUCCUGCAAGACAGCACGUGCGCCUGACACAGGCCAAUGAGACGACUGGGUUCCCGGCCAUUUUGGUCGACCUCCUGACCAGGCUGGGAUAUCGCUGGUACCCCGAGUACACUGUGUUCGAGGAUUUCCGCGAGUACAACCAGUACCAGUACCAGGAUGAGGUUCGCAUCUUCGACCAGAGGGGAGGCAAGACCCUCGAGCGCCACGUCUUCUGUGGUAUUGGAGUGUCGGUCGAGAUGGCCGUCCAUGAUGUGGCCUACAUCGCCAUCACCUGUCUCCAUGGAGCGUACCCUCACCUGGAGGAGAGCCCUUUCAGAUACAUCCCGCAUGCUCCUGCUUGGGAUGAGACUGGGUCUGAUCUCACUGCCUACGCUUCUGAAGUUCGGGAGCGCAUCGACCGUUCCUACGUCGCUGUCUGCGCCCCCUACGUGACGCGUCGCUACGACGCACGGUUUCUGGUGCAGUACACUCAGGCAAUGGAUCGUGCUUUCCGAGCUCUAACUGUGGAGCUGUAUGCUACGCGCGCUCGUCUUUACGACGCGUUGACAGAGCUGCAACCAUCACACUGCCCGAGGGUUCCCCCCUAUGCGCAUCCGCGAGCCGAGCAGGACAGAGCUACCAUCAGCUCUCGAGUGGACUGAUGUUGGGGGUAGAAACCCUGCACUUGGACCUCAGCUCCUCGACUGGAUGCGGUACCCUCACCAGAGUCACAACGGGACACAGGGUCCUGUUACUACCUUCUAUCACCGCCAGCUACCAGGAUUCGAUCGUCCUCUCCGACGUUGAUGUAGCCUUAUCGCUACAUCUUGUUGUGGUACUCUUCCACCGCGUGCCUGCGCGCCGCCUAGUGAGUCCAGGGUAUCGUCUAAUGCGUCUGGGCUAUCGCAAAAUUUCGAAUUUGUAAUCGUUAGUCUGUACUCGAACUUAUGUGUGGGUCUGUAUGUCGAACUCAACUACUAUGGAGUAACUAUCGCAUUUCCCUUUCAUUAUGCUUGAUUACUUCGUGAAUGUGUGCGAUGCCUUUGCAAUUACUUUAAGCUAAACUACCCCUGUUAAAUAUUUAACAGGAUGGUUAGACCAGCUGGCCGCCCGCGUGCCCCUGCCAACGAUGCACCACCCCCGCCUCCUGAGUAUAUGGCGGGGAUGAUCCAACAGUUUGAGCUGAACCGUCAGUUUAUGCAAGGGCUCAUGGAUCAGUUCCAAAGGCCGAACAUGAACCAACCACAAGGCGUGACACUGCAAGACUUCUGCCGCCUCAACCCUGCGAUCUACCGCAGCUCAACUCAGCCUCUUGAUGCCGAUGACUGGCUCCGUGACAUUUCUUAUGAGCUGGAGUGUGCCAAUGUGCCCCAGGCGAGCUAUGUCAACUUUGCCGCCUACUUUCUGAAGGGUCCCGCUGCUCAAUGGUGGGACAGCCACAGGCGCUCUCAGCCCGAUGGAACUAUCAUCACUUGGGCAGAGUUCAAGGCUCCUUUCCGUGCUCGCUACAUUCCCUAGGGAAUCAUGGACUAGAAGAAGCGUGAGUUCCGCAACUUGGUCCAGGGCAACAAGACUGUGGAUGCUUAUCAGCGGGAAUUUCUCGACUUAUCUCGCUAUGCUGAAGAAGACAUUGCAACUGAUGCACGCAGGCAGGAGAAGUUCCGUGAAGGCCUCCACCCUGAUAUCAAGCUGACACUCCUCGUUCAGGACUAUGCUGAUUUCGCCACCCUGGUGAACAAGGCUAUUCAGGUUGAGACUGGUCUGCAGGAAUACAAAGAUAGCAGCAAGCGCAACCGUGACAUGGGCUCAUCUUCGGGCUCAUGUGCACAGAAGCGAAAGAUCUGGAUUCCCAACAACAUGUACCAUGCACCUGCUCCUGCUCCGAGGCUGUCCUAUGCUGCACCUCGCCUACCUCCUCCACCACCUAGGCAGCCGAGGCUUCCAGCUCCACCGCCUCGAGUUCCUCCUUCCCGUCCUGAGGACGGGCUGUGCUUCAAGUGUGGCCGUCCAGGUCACCGUGCUAGAGACUGCAGGCAGAAUCCGAAUCAGCUGACACUUCCCGCAACUGGCAGUGGCAACAACCAGAACCGCAACUUCAACGCUAAGCCUGCUUAUGUUCGUGGUCAGGCCAACAACAUUGAUAUGGGUCAAGCUCAAGACCAGCCUACUACCGUGAUGGGUACACUUCUCGUUAACUCAGUACCUGCUUCUGUAUUGUUUGAUACAGGAGCAUCACAUUCCUUUAUGUCGGAAAGUUUUGCAUUCAUGCAUGGCAUUAAGUACGAAGAGAUGAACGUCCCAAUAGUUGUAAACACCCCCUCGGGCCAAUGCCGACCCUCCAUGGUCUGCUCCAAUGUCCCAUUGAAAUUGAAGGAUUGGAAUUCUUUGCCUCUCCCAUGUUAUUAAGUUCUUCCAACAUUGAUCUCAUACCGGGGAUGGACUGGUUUAAAGCUCAUACGGCAUCGGUCGUUUGUGCCACCAAGACCGUCCACCUCCUACACCCUUCAGAUGAAUUAAUAAGCUACCAUGCUCAUCUCGUCCGUAAUGCUGAGGCACGGUUGUAUGCUUUGAAUGCAUUAAAUGCGUCGCCUCUUGAAGGGAUUGAAAACAUCCCAGUGGUCCGAGAAUUUCAAGAUGUCUUCCCAGAAGAACUUCCGGGGAUUCCCCCUACUCGAGCUGUCGAGUUUGUCAUUGACUUGGUACCCGGUACCACUCCUAUUGCAAAGCGCCCUUAUAAAAUGCCACCACAUGAACUCCUUGAACUUAAGCAAGAAAUUGACAACUCGCUCCGUCUGGGUUUCAUCCGUCCGAGUUCCUCUGCUUGGGGAGCACCUUCUCUCUUUGUUAAGAAGAAGGAUGGGACAAAUCGAUUGGUUCAAGACUAUCGUCCUAUCAACCAGGCCACUAUUCAAAACAAAUAUCCUCUCCCUCGGAUAAAUGAUUUGUAUGAUCAACUUGCUGGUUCCACCGUCUUCUCUAAGCUCGACUUGAGGUUGGGAUACCACCAGAUCCAUGUUCGCAAGGAGGAUAUUCCAAAGACCGCCUUUGUUACUCGAUAUGGAUCAUACGAGUACACCGUCAUGUCCUUCGGCUUAACCAAUGCACCGGCAACCUUCUCUCGAUUGAUGAAUUAUAUAUUCAUGGACUACCUCGACAAAUUUGUCAUGGUAUAUCUGGAUGAUAUUCUGGUAUUUUCGAAGAACAAAGAAGAGCAUGCUGAACAUCUUCGUCUUGUACUGGAUAAGCUUCGGGAGCAUAAACUCUAUGCGAAGUAUUGCAAAUGUGAGUUCUGGCUAGACGAAGUGACUUACCUUGGUCAUGUGAUUUCCAAGGAUGGUAUUGCGGUCAACCCCGAACGAAUUCAAGCUAUUCUUGUCUAGACUCCCCCGAAGAAUGUUAAGCAAGUCAGAAGUUUUCUCGGACUCGCCAGCUAUUGCCGUCGAUUUGUCGAGAACUUCUCCAAGAUUGCGAAGCCCUUAACCAAUCUGCUUCACAAAGGUGUUAAGUAUGAGUGGACUGAUAAAUGUCAGGAAAGUUUCCAGGCGCUCAAGGACAAACGUACGUCCGCUCGAGUACUUGCUCCUCCAGAUACGAAAAGGGAUUUCGUCAUAUACUGUGAUGCUUCUCGUCAAGGAAUAGGUUGUGUCCUAAUGCAGGAUCGCAAGGUGAUCGCUUAUGCUUCACGUCAACUGCGUGCUCAUGAAGAGAACUACCCAGUUCAUGAUCUCGAGCUUGCCACAGUCAUUCAUGCAUUGAAGGAAUGGUGACAAUACCUUGUCGGUAAUCGCUGUGAAAUCUACACCGACCAUCAAAGUCUGAAGUACUUGUUCACUCAACCGGAGCUGAACCUACGUCAACAAAGAUGGAUGGAGCGUAUAGCAGAUUUUGACUGUAGUAUAUCAUAUACCCCUGGCAAGGCUAACAUAAUGGCUGAUGCCUUGAGUCGCAAGUCAUACUGCAACCACCUCCAGGUUCAUAAGGUUCACGAUCGUCUGCAAGAGGAAUUCCGUAAGCUGAACCUCCACGUUGUUCCUCAGGGUUACCUUGUUCCCCCUCCUGAAGAGUGUCAAAAUAUGAACCUUCGUGUUGUUAAUCAGGGUUCCCUCAGUAACCUAGUGGUUGAACCAGAUCUUGUGAGCUCCAUAAAGAAUCUGCAAGGCUUUGACGAUGAUGUCGACAUGAUUAAGAGCUAUAUUGCGAAGGGUAAACCCUCCUUUUUCACUGUUGAUGAAGAUGGCGCCUUGUAUUUCAAGGGUCGCCUAUUCGUCCCAAAUAAGAAGGAAAAUCUCAGGAUGACCGGGAAGGUGAUGGAAGAAGCUCAUGACACACCAUUGUCUAUUCACCCGGGUAGUACCAAGAUGUACCAAGACAUCCGGCAAAGAUUCUGGUGGCCCAAUAUGAAACAAGACAUUGCAUGCUAUGUGGCAGAAUGUGAUAUAUGUCGGCGUAUCAAAGCAGAACACCAAAAGCCUGCUGGGACUCUGCAACCUAUCUCUAUUUCGGAGUGGAAAUGGGACCAUGUUGAAAUGGACUUUGUCACUGGUUUUCCCAGAUCUCAGAAAGGUAAUGAUGCUAUUCUUGUCGUCAUUGAUCGACUGUCCAAAGUUGCACAUUUCCUGGCCGUCAAAGAAACAAUUAAUGCUAGUCAGCUGGCAGAUCUUUAUAUGUCAAGAGUUGUUUCACUUCACGGUAUUCCGUUGGUAAUCAGUUCGGACCAUGGCAGCUUGUUCACUUCAAAAUUCUGGGAAAGUUUUCAGAAGGCUAUGGGGACUCAUCUGUCCUUCAGCACUGCAUUUCAUCCUCAAUCCCAGGGACAAGUUGAACGAGUCAACCAAAUUCUCGAGGACAUGCUUCGAGCUUGUGUCAUUUAUUUCGGUAAGAAAUGGGAGGAAUAUCUCCCGUAUGCCGAGUUCUCUUACAACAAUAGCUAUCAAGCUAGUCUGAAGAUGGCCCCUUUCGAAGUAUUGUAUGGGCGAAGGUGUCGAACUCCUCUGAAUUGGUCAGAAAUUGGGGAACGAUCACUCUUCGGUCCAGAUAUUAUUCAACAUGCCGAAGAUCAAGUCUGCAUUAUUCAUGAGAAUCUGAAGGCUGCUCAGUCUCGUCAGAAGAGUCAGUAUGACCGUCAUCAUCAAGAUAUGGUCUAUCAACCUGGCGAAAAGGCUUAUCUUCGUGUCACACCAAUGAGAGGUGCACACCGUUUCGGAAUCAAGGGCAAGUUAGCUCCUCGUUAUAUUGGUCCUUUCACUGUUAUCGAAAGGCGUGGAAGAGUGGCUUAUCAAUUGGAACUGCCGGCGAACCUUUCUCAGGUUCACGAUGUCUUCCAUGUUUCUCAGCUCCGUCGCUGCUUCAAGGACCCUAUUCGAGCAGUGGAUCACGAUAUGCUUGAGCUACAACAAGACCUCUCUUAUAAAGAGCAUCCGGUCCGCAUUCUUGACCAAGCUGAACGUAAGACUCGUCGCAAGGUCACCAAGUUCCUUAAGGUGCAGUGGUCAAAUCACUCUGAAGAUGAAGCCACUUGGGAACGCGAGGAUCAUCUUAGUGAUGAAUACCCCAGGCUCUUUCCCUCUACCUCUUAAUUCUCGGGACGAGAAUUCUUGUUAGUAGGGGAGAAUUGUGACAUCCUCGACUUUUGCUACAGUAAAUAUUGUAAUUAAGCUACAGUGAUCACCCGCUAAUGAUGCCACAUCAUCGAGAAUUACCGUCGUUGACCCGCAUUGAAUUUCUAUCCGGAUUCAGAAAUUGAAAACAAAAGAAAAGUAUAUUUAUAAAUUCAUAUUAACUAUUAAAGGAAGACAUGUAUAGAAAGAAAGUAUUAAAAAUAAUAAUAAUAAAAGAAAGAAAAGAAAAGAAAUUAAAAAAAGGAAAUUAGAAAGAGGAAAUAAUAGAAAAAGAAAAAAAACAAAAAAAAAGAAAAAAAAAGAAAAAAAANCAUGAAGAAACUCCAUGCCGAUGGACUUUUGGAGUCACUUCACUUUGAUUCACUUGACACGUGCGAACCAUGCCUCAUGGGCAAGAUGACUAAAACUCUGUUCUCCGGAACAAUGGAGCGUGCAAGUGACUUGUUGGAAAUCAUACAUACCGAUGUGUGUGGUCCGAUGACCGUAGAGGCACGCGGCGGAUAUCGUUAUUUUCUCACCUUCACUGACGAUUUGAGUAGAUAUGGUUAUGUCUACUUAAUGAAGCACAAGUCUGAAACAUUUGAAAAGUUCAAGCAAUUUCAUAGUGAAGUUGAAAAUCAUCGUAACAAGAAGAUCAAGUUCCUACGGUCUGAUCGUGGGGGUGAAUAUCUGAGUUUCGAGUUUGGUGCUCACUUAAGACAAUGUGAAAUUGUUUCACAGUUGACACCGCCUGGAACACCACAGCGUAAUGGUGUGUUCGAACGUCGUAAUCGUACUUUAUUAGAGAUGGUGCGAUCUAUGAUGUCUCUUACUGAUUUGCCGUUAUCGUUUUGGGGUUAUGCAUUAGAAACAGCUGUAUUCACUUUAAAUAGGGAACCAUCAAAAUCCGUUGAGACGACACCAUACGAACUGUGGUAUGGCAAAAGGCCAAAGUUGUCGUUUCUUAAAGUUUGGGGAUGUGAUGCUUAUGUCGAAAAGCUUCAGCCUGAAAAGCUGGAACCCAAAGCGGAAAAGUGCAUCUUCAUAGGUUACCCAAAAGAGACAGUUGGGUACACCUUCUAUCUCAAAUCCGAGGGCAAAGUGUUUGUUGCUAAAAACGGAGCUUUUCUCGAGUAGGAGUUUCUCUCGAGAGAAUUGAGUGGGAGGAAGAUAGAACUUGAUGAGGUUGUCGAACCUCUCAUCCCUCUGGAUGGUGGCGUAGGGCAAGGGGAAACCUUUGUCGUUGCGACGCCGGUUGAGGAGGAAGUUAAUGAUGAUGAUCAUGAAACUCCGGUUCAAGUUUCUGUCGAACCACGCAGGUCAACGAGACCACGUGCUGCUCCAGAGUGGUACGGUAAUCCCGUCUUGUCAAUCAUGUUGUUAGACAACAAUAAACCUGCAAAUUAUGAAGAAGCAAUGGUGGGCCCAGAUUCCAACAAAUGGCUAGAAGCCAUGAAGUCCGAGAUAGGAUCCAUGUAUGAGAACAAAGUGUGGACUUUGGAAGUACUACGUGAGGGCCGUAAGGCUAUUCAGAACAAAUGGAUCUUUAAAAGGAAGACGGAUGCUGACGGCAAUGUGACCAUUUAUAAAGCUUGACUUGUGGCAAAGGGUUUUUCACAAGUUCAAGGAGUUGACUACGAUGAGACAUUCUCACCCGUAGCGAUGCUUAAGUUCGUCAGAAUCAUGUUAGCAAUAGCUGCAUUUUUUGAUUAUGAAAUCUGGCAGAUGGAUGUCAAAACGGCGUUCCUUAACAGUUUCCUUAAGGAAGAGUUGUAUAUGAUGCAACCCGAAGGUUUUGUCGAUCCUAAGAAUGCUAACAAGGUGUGCAAGCUCCAGCGAUCCAUUUAUGGACUGGUGCAAGCAUCUCGGAGUUGGAAUAAACGCUUUGAUGAGGUGAUCAAAGCAUUUGGGUUUAUACAAGUGGUUGGAGAAUCUUGUAUUUACAAGAAAGUGAGUGGGAGCUCUGUGGCGUUUCUAAUAUUAUAUGUGGAUGACAUAUUGCUGAUUGGAAACAACGUAGAGUUUUUGGAGAGCAUAAAGGAUUACUUGAAUAAAAGUUUCUCUAUAAAGGACCUAGGAGAAGCUGCUUACAUUCUAGGCAUUAAGAUCUACAGGGAUAGAUCAAAACGCCUGAUAGGACUUUCACAAAGCACAUACCUUGAUAAAGUUUUGAAGAGGUUCAAAAUGGAACAGUCCAAGAAAGGGUUCUUGCCAGUUUUACAAGGUACGAGAUUGAGUAAGACUCAGUGCCCAGCAACUGAUGAGGAGAGAGAGCAUAUGAGCGUCGUCCCCUAUGCUUCAGCCAUAGGUUCUAUCAUGUAUGCAAUGCUGUGCACUAGACCGGACGUUAGCCUGGCCAUAAGUAUGGCAGGCAGGUUCCAGAGUAAUCCAGGAGUGGAUCACUAGACGGCGGUCAAGAAUAUCCUGAAGUACCUGAAAAGGACUAAUGAGAUGUUUCUCAUGUAUGGAGGUGACGAAGAGCUCACCGUAAAGGGUUACGUCGAUGCAAGCUUUGACACAUAUCCGGAUGACUCUAAGUCGCAGACCGGAUACGUAUUUACUCUUAAUGGGGGUGCGGUAAGCUGGUGCAGUUCCAAGCAAAGCGUCGUAGCAGAUUCUACAUGUGAAGCGGAGUACAUGGCUCCCUCGGAGGCAGCUAAGGAGGGUGUCUGGAUGAAGCAGUUCAUGACGGAUCUUGGAGUGGUGCCAAGUGCACUGAAUCCAAUAACCUUGUUCUGUGACAACACGGGUGCCAUUGCCUUAGCAAAGGAACCAUGGUUUCACAAGAAGUCCACACACAUCAAACGACGCUUCAACCUCAUCCGCGACUACGUCGAAGGGGAGGACGUGAAUAUAUGCAAAGUGCACACGGAUCUGAAUGUAGCAGACCCGCUAACUAAACCUCUUCCACGGGAAAAGCAUGAUCAACACUAGAACUGUAUGGGUGUUAGAUUUAUUACAAUGUAAUUCGCAUGAUGAUGUGAGGGCUAGAUUAUUGACUCUAGUGCAAGUGGGAGACUGUUGGAAUUAUGCCCUAGAGGCAAUAAUAAAUAUAGUUAUUAUUAUAAUUCCUGUAUCAAGAUAAUCAUUUAUUAUCCAUAAUAUAAUUGUAUUGAAUGAAGACUUAUAUACAUGUGUGGAUACAUAGACAAAACACUGCCCCUAGCAAGCCUCUAGUUGGCUAGCCAGUUGAUCAAAGAUAGUCAGUGUCUUCUGAUUAUGAACAAGGUGUUGUUGCUUGAUAACUGGAUCACGUCAUUAGGAGAAUCACGUGAUGGACUAGACCCAAACUAAUAGACGUAGCAUGUUGAUCGUGUCAUUUUGUUGCUACUGUUUUCUGCGUGUCAAGUAUUUGUUCCUAUGACCAUGAGAUCAUAUAACUCACUGACACCGGAGGAAUACUUUGUGUGUAUCAAACGUCGCAACGUAACUGGGUGACUAUAAAGAUGCUCUACAGGUAUCUCCGAAGGUGUUCGUUGAGUUAGUAUGGAUCGAGACUAGGAUUUGUCACUCCGUGUGACGGAGAGGUAUCUUGGGGCCCACUCGGUAAUACAACAUCACACACAAGCCUUGCAAGCAAUGUGACUUAAUGUAAGUUGCGGGAUCUUGUAUUACGGAACGAGUAAAGAGACUUGCCGAUAAACGAGAUUGAAAUAGGUAUACGGAUACUGACGAUCGAAUCUCGGGCAAGUAACAUACCGAAGGACAAAGGGAAUGACAUACGGGAUUAUAUGAAUCCUUGGCACUGAGGUUCAAACGAUAAGAUCUUCGUAGAAUAUGUAGGAUCCAAUAUGGGCAUCUAGGUCCCGCUAUUGGAUAUUGACCGAGGAGUCUCUCGGGUCAUGUCUACAUAGUUCUCGAACUCGCAGGGUCUGCACACUUAAGGUUCGACGUUGUUUUAUGCGUAUUUGAGUUAUAUGGUUGGUUACCGAAUGUUGUUCGGAGUCCCGAAUGAGAUCACGGACGUCACGAGGGUUUCCGGAAUGGUCCAGAAACGAAGAUUGAUAUAUAGGAUGACCUCAUUUGAUUACCGGAAGGUUUUCGGAGUUACCGGGAAUGUACCGGGAAUGACGAAUGGGUUCUGGGAGUUCACCGGGUGGCAACCCACCCCGGGGAAGCCCAUAGGCCUUGGGGGUGGCACACCAGCCCUUAGUGGGCUGGUGGGACAGCCCAAGAAGGCCCUAUACGCCAUGGGAAGAAAAUCAAAGAGAAAAGAAAAAAAAGGAGGAGGUGGGAAAAGGGGGAAGGACUCCUCCUUCCAAACCUAGUUGGACUCGGUUUGGAAGGGGAGGGCUGCCCCCCUUAGCUCGGCUGAAGCCCUUAGGGGUCCUUGGACCCCCAAGGCAAGGCUCCCCCUCUUCCCCCUAUAUAUACGGAGGUUUUAGGGCUGAUUUUAGAUGACUUUUCCAUGGCAGCCCGACCACAUACCUCCACGGUUUUUCCUCUAGAUCGCGUUUCUGCGGAGCUCGGGCGGAGCCCUGCUGAGAUAAGAUCACCACCAACCUCCGGAGCACCAUCACGCUGCCGGAGAACUCUUCUACCUCUCCGUCUCUCUUGCUGGAUCAAGAAGGCCGAGAUCAUCAUCGAGCUGUACGUGUGCUGAACGCGGAGGUGCCAUCCGUUCGGCACUAGAUCGUGGGACUGAUCGCGGGACGGUUCGCGGGGCGGAUCGAGGGACGUGAGGACGUUCCACUACAUCAACCACGUUCACUAACGCUUCUGCUGUACGGUCUACAAGGGUACAUAGAUCACACAUCCCCUCUCGUAGAUGGACAUCACCAUGAUAGGUCUUUGUGCGCGUAGGAAAAAUUUUGUAUCCCAUGCGACGUUCCCCAACAGUGGUAUCAUGAGCUAGGUUCAUGCGUAGAUGUCUUCUCGAGUAGAACACAAAAGUUUUUGUGGGUAGUGAUGUGCGUUUUGCUGCCCUCCUUAGUCUUUUCUUGAUUCCGCGGUAUUGUUGGAUCGAAGCGGCUCGGACCGACAUUACUCGUACGCUUGUGAGACUGGUUUCAUCGCUACGAGUAACUCCGUUGCUCAAAGAUGACUGGCGAGUGUCAGUUUCUCCAACUUUAGUUGAAUCGGAUUUGACCGAGGAGGUCCUUGGAUGAGGUUAAAUAGCAACUCAUAUAUCUCCGUUGUGGUGUUUGCGUAAGUAAGAUGCGAUCCUACUAGAUACCCAUGGUCACCACGUAAAACAUGCAAUAACAAAAUUAGAGGACGUCUAACUUGUUUUUGCAGGGUAUGCUUGUGAUGUGAUAUGGCCAACAAUGUGAUGUGAUAUAUUGGAUGUAUGAGAUGAUCAUGUUGUAAUAGAUAAUAUCGACUUGCACGUCGAUGGUACGGCAACGGGCAGGAGCCAUAGGGUUGUCUUUAUACUAACGUUUGUGCUUACAGAUGCGUUUACUAUUUUGCUAGGAUGUAGCUUUAGUAGUAAUAGCAUGAGUAGCACGACAACCCCGAUGGCGACACGUUGAUGGAGAUCAUGGUGGCGCCGGUGACAAGAAGAUCGUGUCGGUGCUUGGUGAUGGAGAUCAAGGAGCACGUGAUGAUGGCCAUAUCAUGUCACUUAUGAAUUGCAUGUGAUGUUAAUCCUUUUAUGCACCUUAUUUUGCCUGGAACGACGGUAGCAUUAUGAGGUGAUCUCUCACCAAAAUUUCAAGACGAAAUUGUGUUCUCCCCGACUGUGCACCGUUGCUACAGUUCGUCGUUUCGAGACACCACGUGAUGAUCGGGUGUGAUAGACUCAACGUUCACAUACAACGGGUGCAAAACAGUUACGCACGCGGAACACUUGGGUUAAGCUUGAGGAGCCUAGCAUGUGCAGACAUGGCCUCGGAACACAUGAGACCGAAAGGUCGAUCAUGAAUCAUAUAGAUGAUAUGAUUAGCAUGGGGAUGCUUACCACUGAAACUAUGCUCAACUCACGUGAUGAUCGGACUUGAGCUAGUGUAAGUGGAUUAUGAACCACUCAAAUGACUAGAGAGAUGUACUUUUUGAGUGGGAGUUUAGCGAGUAAUUUGAUUAAGUUAAACUCUAAUUAUCUUGAACAUAGUCUAAGUCCACUUUGAAUAUAUUUGUGUUGUAGAUCAUGGCUCACGCGACAGUCACCCUGAAUUUUAAUACAUUCCUAGAGAAAGCUAAGUUGAAAGAUGAUGGAAGCAACUUUGUAGACUGGGCUCGCAAUCUUAAGCUAAUCUUACAAGCUGGGAAGAAGGAUUAUGUCCUUAAUGCUGCGCUAGGAGAUGAACCACCCGCUACGGCUGAUCGGGAUGUUAAGAACGCUUGGUUAGCACGUAAGGAGGACUACUCAGUAGUUCAAUGUGCAGUCUUGUAUGGCUUAGAACCGGGACUUCAACGUCGCUUUGAGCGUCAUGGAGCAUUUGAGAUGUUCUAGGAGUUGAAUUUUAUCUUUCAGAAGAACGCCCGGAUCGAGAGGUAUGAGACCUCCUAUAAAUUCUAUGCUUGCAAGAUGGAGGAGAACUCGUCUGUCAGUGAACAUGUGCUCAAAAUGUCUGGGUACUCAAACCGUCUAGCUGACCUGGGGAUUGAACUCCCGCAAGAGGCUAUCACUGACAGAAUCCUUCAAUCACUGCCGCCAAGCUAUAAAGGCUUUGUGUUGAACUACAACAUGCAAGGGAUGAACAAGACACCGGCGAGUUCUUUGCGAUGCUGAAAGUCGCAGAGUCUGAACUCCGUAAAGAACAUCAAGAGUUGAUGGUGAAUAAGACCACUAGUUUCAAGAGAAACGGCAAAGGCAAGAAGGGUAAAUCAAAGAAGAGCGGCAAGCCUGUUGCCAAUCCGACGAAGAAACCCAAAGGUGGACCUAAGCCUGAAACAGAGUGUUACUAUUGCAAGGGUAUGGGUCACUGGAAGCGCAAUUGCCCCAAGUAUUUGGCUGAUAAGAAGGUGGCCAAAGAAAAAUCAGGUAUAUUUGAUAUACAUGUUAUUGAUGUGUACUUAACCGGCUCUCGUAGUAGUGCCUAGGUUUUCGAUACCGGUUCUGUUGCUAUUUGCAACUCAAAACAGGAACUGCGGAAUAGACGAAGGCUGGCGAAAGAUGAAGUGACGAUGCGCGUAGGAAAUGGUUCCAAGGUUGAUGCAAUCACCGUCGGCACAGUUUCACUUCAGUUACCAUCAGGAUUAGUUAUGAACUUGAAUCAUUGUUAUUUAGUGCCUGCAUUGAGCAUGAACAUUAUAUCUGGAUCUUGUUUAUUGCGAGACGGUUACUCUUUUAAGUCAGAGAAUAAUGGUUGUUCUAUUUCUAUGAGUAACAUCUUUUAUGGUCAUGCACCCAAUGUGAGAGGAUUGUUCAUAUUGAAUCUUGAUAGCGAUACACACAUACAUAACAUUGAGGCCAAAAGAGUUAGAGUUAACAAUGAUAGCGCCAUAUUUUUGUGGCACUGUCGCUUAGGUCAUAUUGGUGUAAAGUGNCCUCGCCUCACCUCCCCACCGGCACCAGCCUCCGUCGGCCCCUCAACCCCCCACCGAGCCACCCCACUUUUUCCCGGUUGGCCAAGCUCCGGCGCCCCCACCCCGUCGGACGGCCCCAACCCCCGUCGGCCUUCCUUCCGCUCGGUCCAGGAGGGACCGAGCAGGGAGGACCUCAACCUCGCCGGUUCCGGCCGGCCUCACCUCGACCGACCCCCCUCCUUCAACGCCGCCCCCCCUCCGGGAGGGCCUCGACCUCGCCGGCACGUCCUCACCAACACCACCGUCAUCACCGCGCCAUCACCACCGUCACCUCCGCCUUCCCGCGAACUCCGGCUUCACCGGGCCGUCUCAUCAACGUUGCUGAGCCCCUCCUCGGGCUCCUCCCACGAUCUCGUUCCCCUUGCCGUCCCGGUUCCGUUCCGACGAACGGCACUCCGAUCCGGCGCCGUUAGGUUCAUGUAGGAGUUCGAGGAGAUGUAGCUCUCUCUCUCUUUGUGUGAAGUUCUGUGUGUUAACAGAGAGGUGAGAGUUGUGAGAGUUAAAAAAAAUAAAAAAAAUAAAUGAUGUAUAAGAUACGUAUGUAUGUAUGUAUGUAUGAGAUGCGAUGUAUGUAUUGCGUAUAUAGGUAUUUGGAGGAAUACGAUAAUUGCAUGAUUAUGUAUGUGUGAAAAAGAUGAGUAUAUGGCCUAAAGUCACUUACCGGUGGGGCCAACGCACCCGCUGUCUAUGACAGGGAGGCCCCACGCGAUAAUUAAAAAAAUAAAAAUAAUGUUAAUGUUUUUAUUAAAUAAAUAAAUAGAUAUAUUAGUUAAAUUAAUUAAUUGGAUAAUUAGAAUAAUUAGAGUAUGACAUGCGGGUCCCCCACUAAAUUAAUCUGAUUAAUUAAUAUUUAAUCUUAAUUAAAACUUGUGCCUAUGACGUUCGGGACCCGCUGGUCAGUUGACCAGUCAAUUGUUGAUGUGAGCAUCACAUCAUGCUGAUGUCAUAAUAGCUUUUUAUUGAAUUAUUUAAAUCUGUUUUUAAUUCCUAAUUAUUGAAUAAAACUUUAAAAAUUAAUAUUAAAUAAUCCAUAAGUCAGAUCAAAAUAUUUUCAACAUGAAAGUUGAUUAGCAGAACGAGACGAACCCGGAUACACGGUCCAUUCGUGUGUCACGCGUCCCUAGUAUAGCAAACAUGGAACAUUCCCAUCGUAGUAUGACCAGUAGUAGCCCGAGACCCGGAAAAUAUUGUCAGAUAUUCUUCCGACCCGUCUAUGACGGAUGUUGCUGCGUUAGCUCAUGUCUAGCCUGCAUCUUGCCAUGUCAUGCUUUGUGUUGCACCGUGUUGGGGAACGUCGCAUGGGAAACAAAAAUUUUCCUACGCGCACGAAGACCUAUCAUGGUGAUGUCCAUCUACGAGAGGGGAUGUGUGAUCUACGUACCCUUGUAGACCGUACAACAGAAGCGUUAGUGAACGUGGUUGAUUUAGUGGAACGUCCUCGCGUCCCUCGAUCCGCCCCACGAACCGUCCCGCGAUCAGUCCCACGAUCUAGUGCCGAACGGACGGCACCUCCGCGUUCAGCACACGUACAGCUCGACGAUGAUCUCGGCCUUCUUGAUCCAGCAAGAGAGACGGAGAGGUAGAAGAGUUCUCCGGCAGCGUGACGGCGCUCCGGAGGUUGGUGGUGAUCUUAUCUCAGUAGGGCUCCGCCCGAGCUCCGCAGAAACGCGAUCUAGAGGAAAAACCGUGGAGGUAUGUGGUCGGGCUGCCGUGGAAAAGUCGUCUCAAAUCAGCCCUAAAACCUCCGUAUACAUAGGAGGAAGAGGGGGAGCUUUGCCGUGGGGUCCAAGGACCCCUAAGGGCUUCGGCCGAGCCAAGGGGGGAAGCCCUCCCCUUCCAAACCGAGUCCAACUAGGUUUGGAAGGAGGAGUCCUUCCCCCUUUUCCCACCUCCUCCUUUUUUUCUUUUCUCUUUGAUUUUCUUCCUAUCUCGCAUAGGGCCUUCUUGGGCUGUCCCACCAGCCCACUAAGGGCUGGUGUGCCACACCCAAGGCCUAUGGGCUUCCCCGGGGUGGGUUGCCCCCCGGUGAACUCCCGGAACCCAUUCGUCAUUCCCGGUACAUUCCCGGUAACUCCGAAAACCUUCCGGUAAUCAAAUGAGGUCAUGCUAUAUAUCAAUCUUCGUUUCCAGACCAUUCCGAAAACCCUCGUGACGUCUGUGAUUUCAUCCGGGACUCCGAACAACAUUCGGUAACCAACCAUAUAACUCAAAUACGCAUAAAACAACGUCGAACCUUAAGUGUGCAGACCCUGCGGGUUCGAGAACUAUGUAGACAUGACCCGAGAGACUCCUCGGUCAAUAUCCAAUAGCGGGACCUGGAUGCCCAUAUUGGAUCCUACAUAUUCUACGAAGAUCUUAUCGUUUGAACCUCAGUGCCAAGGAUUCAUAUAAUCCCGUAUGUCAUUCCCUUUGUCCUUCGGUAUGUUACUUGCCCGAGAUUCGAUCGUCAGUAUCCGUAUACCUAUUUCAAUCUCGUUUACCGGCAAGUCUCUUUACUCGUUCUGUAAUACAAGAUCCCGCAACUUACAUUAAGUCACAUUGCUUGCAAGGCUUGUGUGUGAUGUUGUAUUACCGAGUGGGCCCCGAGAUACCUCUCCGUCACACAGAGUGACAAAUCCCAGUCUCGAUCCAUACUAACUCAACGAACACCUUCGGAGAUACCUGUAGAGCAUCUUUAUAGUCACCCAGUUACGUUGCGACGUUUGAUACUCACAAAGUAUUCCUCCGGNNNNNNNNNNNNNNNNNNNNNNNNNNNNNNNNNNNNNNNNNNNNNNNNNNNNNNNNNNNNNNNNNNNNNNNNNNNNNNNNNNNNNNNNNNNNNNNNNNNNGAGGGGCGACGCGGGGAACGGCGAGGUCGCCAUGGCAGGGAGGCUGCGACCGGGGCGGCGAGCUCGAGGCCGAGGGCGAGCACGCGGGGAACUCGGGGGCGAGGGCGGCGCGCGGGUCGGGCACUAGCGGCGGCGCGGGCGCAUGGGACGGGGAGCAGAGAGGCGGCUCGACGUGCAGAUGGACGGCUGCGCGCGGGAGACCGCAUGGCGAGGAGGACCAGGGGAGGCCGGCGAGCAGGGGGCUUGGCGCUGGCAGGGCGGUGCGGCUCGGGCCUGGGGCUGGCGGCGCGUAGAGGGGAGAAGAGAGGGCGAGGGAGGUGGCCACGGCGAGGCAAGGGGACCUGGAGGCGGCAGGGCGGAGCAGGGAACGAGGAGACGAGAAUCGGGAGGAGACGGCGCUGUGGGUGACGAGGGAGAGGCGCAGCACGACGCUAGGGAUGGAGGGGGCCUGGGCCUUGGCCGGCUGGGCCUUGGUCUGGGUCCUCUCCUUCUAAAAGAAAAAAUGUCUUGCACAAAAAAAUAAAAUAGCCGGUUUAAAAAAAGGAAACCACAACCAGAAGAAAAGGAAUUUACUAAAACAAAAAUACUUUUGGGCUCCUUAAAACAUGCUCCAACUAUAAAAAUAGAUUGGGCUCUUUAAACAAAUAAAAAUGAAACCUUUUCGAAGAGUAAAAUGAAACCUUUUAAAGAAUUAAAAAUCAAAACCCUUUUUUAAAAGAAUAAAAUAAACCUAUUUUAUUUAAAGUGUAAAAUAAAAGUUCUUUAAAAGAGAUAAGAAAAUGAGAUUGUUUAAAGAUAAAACAAAAGGAGAAAAUGAAGAAAACCCAAGGGGUUGCCUCCAAAUUAAUAAAAUGAUUUUUCUUUAAAAGAAGACGAAUCUUUAAUUUUGAAAAUAGGGAUUAAAACUAAAGUCUUUAGCCAAACCACAAAAAGGAAAUGAGAGGGGAGAGAAGGUUUUAGGUCCGCGGUGCAACAGGGCUUAGCGGUGGCUCUCACGCACCCUCUUUCAUCACUCCAACAAAACAACGCCACUCAUGAAGCACUAUCACCCAACAACACGGAGCAGCAGGCGACACCGACUAAACACAGUUGACAUGAUGCCAUGCAUGAUGCGAUGAUGCAAACUACAUGACGAUGCAACGAAUAAAUCUAAUCACACGACNNNNNNNNNNNNNNNNNNNNNNNNNNNNNNNNNNNNNNNNNNNNNNNNNNNNNNNNNNNNNNNNNNNNNNNNNNNNNNNNNNNNNNNNNNNNNNNNNNNNUUUCCUCCCCUGGGACUCGCCUUUAUAUACAGGUCGAACCCCUAGGGUUUACAAGGAUACUUUCCUUCCUACAAAUCGUGACCCCUGUGGUCUCUAAGUCGCCAUCUUCCGAAGCUUGGAGACCUUCCAGGAAUCAUAAACCGUCAUACGACCUUGAUCCGGCCAAGACAAGGCCCAAAUAAUUGUUUGGGUGAAUCGCCUAAUUGGUAACCCGGCCGAACUAGGGCGGGUCAUUCACAGGUAAUAUCCCCAACACCUAACCCCCACAUAGAACUCUCACAAAGACCAUGGGUUAGUACACAAACACGUAAUGGACAAUGCUUACCAUACCAUGGGAUCACUUGAUCCCUCUCGGUACAUCUUGUAUGGUUUGUGUGUUGAUCAUCUUGAUUUACUCUUUGUCUGAGAUCUUGAUCAACCUUGUGUCUCUAUGACCAUUCUUUGGAUAAUACCUUGAAUACCAUCUUGGUCAUCAUAUAAACUCCUUGAACCCAACAGAUGGACUUCAAGAAGUGACUAUGGACAAAUCCUAUAAAUAUAACUUAAGGCAACCAUUAGUCCAUAGGAAUUGUCAUCAAUUAGCAAAACCACAUAUGGAGAUAUGUGCUCUAACAAUCUCCCCCAUUUUGGUAAUUGAUGACAACCACUUCAAGAGAGUUUAUAUAAGAAAUAAGCAUAACCAAGCGCACACAUACAAAGCAAUAAUGCAUGCGUGCAAGAUGUAAAUGCUUACGCAAUAAAAGAAAACCCUCAAAACAUAUCCAAAGUAAACUCUCUAAACUUCUCCCCCAUUGGCAUCGAUUGCCAAAAUGGACGAAAAGUUUAGAAAGCCAAUAUAGUAGGUGGUCCUCCAAAAAGUGUGUACUUCUCAGCAAAUGAGUGCAAAGAAAUACACAAAUACAAUGAUAAGUAGUUGGAGGAAAAAAACUAUAUUGAGGACCCAAAGAUUGCAAAUGAAAGGAUCGUAUGCCACAAAGACAUACAAAAAAUAGAGGCAAGCAAUCAAAAGAUACCAGAUGGAACAAACAAUCAUAUGGUCCUUGGAACCACAUGAAUAAAAGAUAUUAUGAUAAAGGCAACAGAGUGUUUUAUGAAAAUUAGAGAAGCUCCCCAUGAUUUGUGCACUAAUACAAGAUUUUUGUAUUUGAUAUAAGUGCACAAAAUAGGAUCGUUGCUCCCCCAAAAUUAAUAAAAACACACAACGAGUGCAAGAAGAUAGAUGAGACAAAAAGCAUAUCAAUUGCACAAAACAAAUGGUUGAGCAACAUGUAAAAGAAGCAACUUAAGAAUAGGCUCAACCAAAAUAAUGUGUGUGAGUCAUGGCAAAGCACUUGAGAAGACUAAGAUAAGGAUGAGCAUUACUCAUCAACAUAGUCUUGAUGAAAUGAGACACAAAGUGCAAGACAUAUCAUUCCCACACACACAUACUAGAAAAUGGGUUCACAAGCUUACUAAUAAACAAAAUAAGAACCAACGCUUGUGACAACCCAUGGUGAAGAUAGGAAAUAAGAACCUUGUCAAGAGGAGGGAUACCAAUCGAAAUGGCAAAACUCUCAUCAAAACAAGCAUGAGGAAAAAUAAUCAUCACGGCCAAAGAGUGCAUCAAUAUGUAGGAAAAUAAGAUACGCACUCAAGACAAAUCCUUUCACGAAGCCACCAAAAACUGAAAAAGGAAAUUCAAGGGUGGACGUGAAAGAAAAUAGGAUAUCAAUUAGAGAUGUAACUUAUCUCAUGUGUAAAAGAUUCUAAGUAGAAGACAAUCAUGAUGAUAUAUAUCCACAAAGAAGGAUGUACACACGAAAUGGUUACAAGAAGGAACAAACAAGAUAUCCAAAAGGAAGUCAUAAAUAUAUCAAUAAGAUCUUUGCUUGGUAGCAUAGCACAUGGCCUAAUAUUUUCUUAUUGUACAAUAUGAACUUCCAACAUACGAGCAUCAAAGACAUCCCAACUAGCAAUAAGACAUCAUCGUUCAGAUGCUUUGAGAAAGGAAACAAGUACUACAAGAACGAAUCAAGAGAUUCUUGCCAUGAUGCAACCUCGAAAAGAAAAGACAGGUUUGGGCCUUUGCAAGAAAUGAAUGCAUGAAGUAGAUACUUGUUACAGAGACAACAUUGGAUUGAUGUAGUAGAUAGUUGUUCGUUGAUCAUCCUAACUUGGCUCCAAUAACCACAUGGUAUCAACACCGUCCUUAUAGGUGAGCCGAGCAUCCAACGCGUCUCCAAUUGUUCCUGGAACAACAAAACAAACGAAAUGGUACCCAAGCUCAUUGGGACCAAAGAUUUAGAAAACCAACAAUACAUAGGACAAACUCCACAUAAAUAUGUACACAUAUAUAUGAAUUUGAAUUUCAUGCACACUUUAGCCAAUUUAUGACAAGGUGGAGUUUCCCCUAUAUAUUGGGUCAAAGAAAGAAAGCAAGCAAAAGAAGCUAUAUAUAGUAAAUAUGCAUGCUCAAGGCUUUCAAUAAUCAACUCAACACAAAGUUGAUAAUACACCAAAAGAAAAGGUAUCAAGUGAUAAUAAGAUACCAAACAAAAAACUAUCACUUGAAGGAUAUCAAUUAAAAGAUACCUCAAGGAAUGAGAUAUCCAUUUACACAUGCCAAAUAAAAGGAAACAAGAUACCAAUUGAAGGAAAACAAACACGAGGUAUAUAGUUUCCAAAAGAGAUCUAGGUUCCAACAAACCAAACCCUCGACAAAUUUUCAUGAUGGCACAAAGCAUCAUAAAGAGAAAGACUUGUCUCCCAUCAACACACACUUGAUGGGGAUCAAAAGAUUUUAUGAUGGGUGAAUAACGAGAGUGUUCUAAAGAAAAUAGGAUAGCUCCCCCAAGGGACGUGCAUUAUAUAGAAUUUGCAUUUAAAUACAAAAUGCACAAGAUGGGAUCAUCACUUUCUCUAUAUCUAUACAAACACUAGACAUGUUGAAAUAGAUCCACAACAGGCAAGGAAGACAAAUGAAACACAAAAUGCAAUGUAAAGACGAUUAGCAAUUCCUACCACAUGAUGGGAAUACCAAUUGUCAAGGACAAGAAGUAUUUUGCAAGUGAUACUCAUUGGUAGAUCGCAAAUAUAUCCAAGAUCAUCUUUACCCAUAAAACACAAGCAAAUGACACUUGUAGAGCUAACAUGCCACCUAGGAACAAGAUAAUUUAGAAUAUCAACACUAAGUGGCAACACCUCAAAUGUACACAUUUUCUAGGUUUGUAAUAUGCACAUAGCAUAUUACUCCCCCAUAAUGUGAUAAACCAACAAUAUUAACAAGUGGAAAAUUAAAACCAACAAGAGAUAAUUAAUGGACCAUAUAGAAUUUGAAUUUCUCAUGAGUAAUACAUACCACAUAGAAACUAGAUAAUCUUGAAAUAUCAAUACUAAGUGGUAUUCCCCAUGUAUACAAAUUUAUAGGAUUGUGAGGUGUGCAAAGCACAUCACUCCCCCACAAUGGGAUAAUCUAUUAAUCUCUCACAAGAGCCAACAAAGAUACAAACAAGAUGCAAAAAGGCUCAAUACAAGACUCACAUGUACAUGAUAUGCAAACCAACAUACACAUACUCGAUUACUCAAGAUAAGCAAGUUGGAACCACAACAUAUACAAACGCAUGCAAGGUACAAAACCACAACAUGCAAAGGGUCAAGCAACUAACAAUGUAAACAGUUUAAGUACAAGUUACCGUAAGGAGGCACAUUGGAUACAAGAUAGAAACUCGAUAAUCCAAAUGACUUGGCUUGAGAUAAUAUGAAUGAUGAAGACCCCUUAAUUCUUCAUUAUGUAUCCAAUUCUCUAAUGUCCUCCACAUUCACCUAUUGAUCAAGUUUGAGCUUGUUGGUCCCCAACCACGUUGGGUCCUAAGAGGUUAGUCACAAUAGGCUUGGCAACCCAAAUGGUACUUUUCUUGACACCACUUUGAGUACCAACAAACUUGGCAAACACAUUGCCAACCUUAUCCUUCCCAAGAGAAUAUAUAUCAUCAAUAAUGAUUGGGUUGGAUAAAUUACCUCUCGUGCAAGAAGAAGCGAAGUGACCCUUCUCACGACAUAAGUAGCAACAUCUACCCUUUAAUUUCUUCCCUAUUGAUUUCUCAACAUGAGGAGUGUUGGCUUGGGUCUUCUUGGGAAGGGGGCCUUUCUUCAACUUGUAGUUGAGUAUGUGAUUGAACUUGUGGCCGCUUCCCUUGUUGCUUGUGACUUUGGGGCUUCUUCUUUAGUUGGCAAGAUCUAACAUGGUGCCCUUCAAUUUUGCACUUGAAGCAAAUAAUCUUGGCCGAAUUCUUGACUUGUUCUUGGCCCUUCUUCUUUAAGUUUUUGGACUUCUUCUUCUUGUUGGAGUUGAAUCCAAGCCCAUCUUUGUCAUUCAGGGAUUUUUGCCCACACAAGACAUUGUUGAGUGUGGACAUCCCUUCAUGACUCUUUUCCAAGUCUUUCUUCAAAGAAGUGACUUGGGCCUUGAGCUCUUCGAUUUCCUCUACAUGGUUAGUAUCAACACAAGUACUAGAGGAAGUAUAAGCUUCAUUGUUAGAGCAACAAGGCAAGGAAGGUAAUUCAUCACAAGAGGUAGCAACAUUAUGAUUAGAAGAAUUACGAGGACUAGCACAUGGCAAUAUAGCAUUUUGACUAGAAGUAGUACCAUUGUCCACAUGAGGCUGACUUGAUGUUACCUUGGUAGUAAUAGCCUCAUGAGCUAAUUUUAGCGCAUUAUGGGAUGCUAGAAGAUCAUCAUGAGAGCUUGUGAGCAUUACAUGACUUUCUUCCAAUUUCCCAUAAUUGCUAGAUAGCAACUCAAGUUGAUCCCUUAGUUCAACAUUCUCCUUUAAAAUGGAUGCUUCACAAGAAGUAGAGUUAGUAUCACAAGCAUCAUCAUUAGCAAUAAGAGGAGAAGGCACCUUGAAAAGCUCUUUAGCAUAUGAAGCUUCAAGUUGAGCAUGAGACUUGGUGAGUUCGAUGAGCGAACUCUUAAUAGCCCUUGAGCCAUUUCCGAGGUGCUCAUAGUCCUCAAGGAGUUUAGCAUGUGCAACUCCAAGCUUAUCAUUUUUAGUUCUAAAAUCAUUAGCCACCUAGAGAGCUCUAUCAUGGGAUCCCUUUAAUCUAGAUAAUUCUAGAGCAAAGGUUUCCUCAAGAGAUUCCUUGGUGGUUUGUUCAUUUUCAAGAGCUUGAGAUAGCUCCGCAAUCUCAUUAGCGUAAUCACGCUCAUGACCUUCCAUUGUCUCAAUGGUGGCCUCAUGCUCCUCAAGAUGAGCUUGCAACUUCUCAAUGUAUUUCUUGCCCUCAGUGGCAAUAGACAUGAUUUCCAAGAAGUUGGAACAAGCAAGUUUAUUCUUAUAAAGAGAUUUAAAAAUGAUUUCACCCUUAAUUUUUAAGGAUGCAAUAUUAUCACUCUCUUCAUCAUUAUCCUCAUCCCCAUUAUCAUCAACAUCAUCAUCAUGAGAUAUAUUGGGAUUCAAAGUAGGAAAUAGCUUUGAAGCCUUAGCCAUAAGGCAAAACUGAGUCACAAUAGAUGAUGAUGUAGGAUCCCUUGAAGCAUCAUUCAAGGCCACCUCUUGUUCCAUGGAGUGAUGAAUUUCCUCUACAUUGUUAGCACAACAACUCAAGGAAAUAUAUACAUUUUUAUCAUGGCAACAAGAUAUAGGAAGCAUAUCAUCAUGAGAUUUAGUCAAGCAGUUUUUACAUGAUAUGCAAGGACUAUCAACACAAGCAUGUAAAACAUUUAGAGUGCUCGAAGUGUUAAUGCCCAAAGAUGAAGCAUUGCAAUGAUAUAGUGAUGAUAUAGUGAUGAAGGAUCAUCAACAAUAAGCCCACUAUCAUCAUUGCAAUGAUCUCCACUACUCACCAUAUCAUUACCUUGUGGAAAUCCAUAUGUAAGUGAAGUAGAUGAAGUUGAGAAGACCACACGACCGGAGGUCGAGGGAGAACAAUUAUUCCCACAAAUCUUGGACAUACCAUAUUUAUCUUGAAGCUUUGUCCACAACUCAUGAGCAUCCCGGAAUGGCAUGAGUUGAAAUAUAACUACAUUGCUCAAAGCAUCGAAAAGCACAUUAGAAGCUUGAGCAUUGAGAUAAUAGUUUUUGUCAUCCUCAAAAGAUAUAUUUUGAGAAUCCUUUGGAGCAGAAAAACCCAUAUCUACAAUUCGCUCUAAAUUUGGGUCCAUGACCAUAAAGUGAUUAAGCAUGCGAAUUACCCAAACAUCAAAAUUUGUGCCAUCGAAACUAAGAGUGUCAGUGAAUCCUAAACCCCUAGUUGACAUCCUUACUCUCUAGGUGGUUAAACCUAAUAAAGAGAGACCUAGCUCUGAUACAAUUGAAAGGCCGUGGAUGUCGCUUAGAGGGGGGGGGUGAAUAGGCGCUUAAAAUAAUUACGGUUUAGGCUUGAACAAAUGCGGAAUAAAACUAACGUUUAAUUUGUCAAGCACAAAACCUACAACAACUAGGCUCACCUAUGUGCACCAUAAACUCAUGCUAAGCAAGAUAAACAACUAAGUGAUAGCAAGAUAUAUGACAAUAAACAAUAUGGCUAUCACAAAGUAAAGUGCAUAAGUAAAGGGUUCGGGUAAGAGAUAACCGAGGCACGCGGAGACGAUGAUGUAUCCCGAAGUUCACACCCUUGCGGAUGCUAAUCUCCGUUGGAGCGGUGUGGCAGCACAAUGCUCCCCAAGAUGCCACUAAGGCCACCGUAAUCUCCUCACGCUCUCGCACAAUGAAAGAUGCCGUGAUUCCACUAAGGGACCCUUCAGGGCGGUCACCGAACCCGUACAAAUGGCAAACCUUGGGCACGGUCACCGAUACCCGUACAAAUUGCUCGGGGCAAUCUCCACAACCUAAUUGGAGACCCCGACGCUUGCCCGGAGCUUUACACCACAAUGAUUGAGCUCCAAGACACCACCAAGCUUCUAGGACGCCAAAGCAUCCAUGAAGAACAAUAUCUAGGGUACUAAGUACCAAAGGUAAUAAGCUUCUCAAACUUCACUUCCACGUAUCACCGUGGAGAACUCAAACGAUGCAACUAAUGCAAUGGGAAGGGCACACGGAGUGCCCAAGUCCUUUUCUCCCAAAUCCCACCAAAGCAACUAAUGCUAGGGAGGAAAAUGAGAGGAAGAACGAAGAAGAACACGAAGAACUCCAAGAACUAGACCCAAGGGGUUCCCCUCACUUAGAGGAGAAACUGAUUGGUGGAAAUGUGGAUCUAGAUCUCCUCUCUCUUUUCCCUCAAGAACUAGCAAGAAUCAUUGGAGGGAUUGAGAGUAAGCAAGCUCAAAGAAGGUCAACAAUGGGGGAAGAACACGAGCUAAAGAGAUAAGGUUCAAUAGGGAAGAAGAGCCCCUUUUAUAGGUGGGGAAAAUCCAACCGUUAGGCCUCACAGCCCGCACAGAGCGGUACUACCGCUCAUGGAGCGGUACUACCGCUCGGUAGGUUCAGCAACCAUGCUGAGGCCAAAAAGUAUGCAAAAAACAGCCCGACGGAGCGGUACUACCGCUCCUGGAGCGAUAGUGAAAAAUUACUACCGCUCCGGGGGCGGUACUACCUCUCUGGGGGCGGUACUACCGCUACAAGAGCGGUACUACCGCUGGAUACUGAAACUGCUGUAACAGUCGCAUACAGACUCCGAAUUCAACGAAACCAAGUUUGUUGGAAAUAUAACGACAUGGGAUAACACAAUAUUGAUAGAAAUACCAAUAAGAAGAAAGUGAGAAAAGUCCCAUAAGAAAAUGGUGAGAACCCUUCUUCGAAUAAGAUCGGUAAAAACUCCCAACAUCGAAAACAUCAUAGAAGAUGCAUAUGGACUCCGUUUUCGAUGAACUCGAGCUUGUCAUGAAGAUGAAUAUAAGCUCUAAAACUCACAAAUAGAAACACCAAACAAGAACCAAGAAGUAUGAUGCAAGGAUGCAAAUGGUUUGAGCUCUCAGCGAACGAUACGAUCAAGCUACUCACUUGAGAGCCCCCCUUGACAGUACGACAAUCUAUCCUAAAAAAUAAAACCUAUCAAGGGCAAACCUAUACCUUGCACCUCGUCCUCUUGAGCUAGAUGACGAUGAUCUUGGCUUCCUCAAGAUGGACCACCUUUCUUGAUUGUGUUGGCUUGAUGAAAACUAGUUGAUUGCUCCCCCAUACACACUAUGGGUGAGCCGCUCUUCAGCAUAUCUUCGCAAGUCCAUUGCCACCACAAUGGACGACAAGCAUCAAGCAAGAUAUAUUCAUGAUGAUCCACUUGAACUUGCACACCGCAAUCUUGAUGACGAUCACCACUUGACGUCAUCCUUCAUGGGUUGUAUGAGAUCUUGCUUUUGACGCAAGCCCAUGGAAGCACACCUAACCCCCACAUAGAACUCUCACGAAGACCAUGGGUUAGUACACAAACAUGUAAUGGACAAUGCUUACCAUACCAUGGGAUCACUUGAUCCCUCUCGGUACAUCUUGUAUGGUUUGUGUGUUGAUCAUCUUGAUUUACUCUUUGUCUGAGAUCUUGAUCAACCUUGUGUCUCUAUGACCAUUCUUUGGAUAAUACCUUGAAUACCAUCUUGGUCAUCAUAUAAACUCCUUGAACCCAACAGAUGGACUUCAAGAAGUGCCUAUGGACAAAUCCUAUAAAUAUAACUUAAGGCAACCAUUAGUCCAUAGGAAUUGUCAUCAAUUACCAAAACCACAUAUGGAGAUAUAUGCUCUAACAGUUCUCAUGGUAACUACUUGGGUAUCAUACGUUAAAUAUUUGUGCUCUUCACAUUGCAGGUCGUUUUCCCCACACUUGUGUUGUACAUGUUUGUUUUCAAUGUUAUAUUGACCUCUGUUUUUUUUCUCAUUUUUCAGCUGAUGGCCAAGCAUGCUAUUGACUAUAGUGUUUUUGGUGGGCCACAAAAUUUUGGCAAAUGGUUGGAUGUGCAUUCAGCUCCAUCUUGUCCCGUCGAGGUAAUUAAACAUGCAGUUGUUUUCAUUUCACUUUUGCAUUUGAGUUCUUUGGGAUUUUUCCUUCCACCUAUUCUUUUGGUUAUGAAUUUGUUUUUAUUUGUUCUAAUCAGGACAGGGCUCCUUUCGAGCAUCUAGUUGGACAGUUUUCUUCUGGCAUGACCAACUUACUUUGGAAGUUGGUUUUGGGCUGGACAACAUUGGCUGGCUCUGACGGCGAUGUAGUUGCCAAGCACUUCACCUCUUUUGUUGGACAGUGUACACAUCUUCCUAUCAAUCAUCGUGGAUAAUACGACUACAAUAUUUCUUAGGGGCUCCCUUUCACCCAAGAGGAGCUAUUUGGGUAUGGUUUCGAUGGUGUGGACGUUGGUCAUGAUAAGGCUGGCAAUGAUGAUAUGGAGAAUGUGCAACAUGACACCGAUGAGAAUGAAUCUCCCCAGUUCAUGAUGGAGAUUCCACUGGUAAGGCUCCACCGGAUGUUCAAACAUCCGAGGGAGGCAAUGCCUCAAAUGUCGUAACAUCGGUGUUCUGCUUCGAAGAGGGGUAUGGCUCCACAGGAUGCUGCUCAGGGUCCUGACGGUAAGAGGUGCAUGACUAAUCUUGUUGCUGCUAGGAGGAGGUUUUCUAUUUGUUCAUUGCGUCAUUUGUUUUCAUAUUUCCAUAAUUUUUCAUGAGCACACCAUGAUUGCACUCUCUUAAUAGGUUUUGCAUUUGUUUUCUCUAGCCAGUGAGGCGACGGAUGGUGGUCGAGCAACUAAACACAAACAAGUGGACAUGCCAUCUAGUGUUUCUGCCUGAUUGAACCACGCAGCACCCAUUGCGGCUCACAUCAUGUCUCUUCGUAUAUCAUUGUCCAAGACCGAGGAUCCUGUCAUGCUGGGAGACUUGAGGAAACAAGCAGGAGGUGUGUUCUUCUUUUACUUUUUGUCUGGUGGUAACUAAUUUAACAGUGGGGCACGUUGCAAUACCUUUUUAUAAAAAUUAUCAUGGCACUUCUAGCAUGUUGAGCAUGAAAACCGAUCCCUAAUGUUCAUGGUAAUUUUGGUCAAUUUAUUCCACAAUUAGUGGCAACUUUAUUGCAUUCCAGUGGGCUUCCCACAUGGCAACUACUCCAUGUCACACAUGGCAACCCUUGCAACUAACAAAUGGAAUUUUUUGUUUGUUACACAUGGGAAGUCUAGCAUAUCACACAUGGCAUUUUAUGUUUCACUCGCACGGCAAAUAUUUGUUCCAUACCACAUUUUCUUUAAGUGCUUUUUCCAUGGUUGUCUUUUCUUUCCACAAUUUUGUAGGGUAGAUAAGGUUGUUACACGUCCCGCCUAACCCAAUACUAAAGACCCAUUAGAACACAUUCACUCAAAGCUGGCGUCGUCCGACAAGGCAGAGAUUUAUGAGGGUUCAGUUGACAAAUCCGUCGUUGCGCCGCCCGGUGUUGCCACUAGUUGUGAUGCAUGUAAGUCUCCAUCUCCAUCGGUUUGCAGGGGUGUGUACGGCAACAUGAGGUAACAAUGGAUCUGGUAGCAAUGAAUCAACAUUUGUCAGGACUAUUCACGUUGUGCCUACCCCUGUGUCAAUGAGGGACGCUAUUGCGAUCCCUUGUAGCCUCUCAACAAGUGAUGAAGUGGAUGCUCUAGAGCUUAACCUAAACAAGGAAGAUUCUCGAUCAUCUGCUACAGACUGCACAUGAGGGGUUGUUGGCACUACCACGCCCACGAAAGAAGGGGUUGCAACAUGAAUUCGUGAUCAUAGGACAUCUAUGGACGAAUCUCGUGGCACAGUUGCAACAUCGGCUCCAAGUACACAGGAUGCUCGAGCAAGGGUUUGCAAGCUAGCCUGCCACCUAGCCGUAGCCCCCUCUAGGAACCUGCACCAUCAUCUAGUGCAGCGGAGCUCGGUAAAAGCAGAGCUGACAUGGGUUUUGUGUGUGCUUCCACACUUAUCCAAUCUUUUGAGCAAAGCAAAGUAGCGGAGACAACGGAAGUCCGGAUUCUGGCAAAUGCAGGUGAUAAGCAAGCUUCUACUGAGGGAGCUAGAGGUACGUAGGAGUCGACAUCCUAUGCGGAAGAAAAGUACUCCUAGUUUAAAUAUGCGUUCUUCCAAGCUUCCUGUCAGCAUUGGUGUCCUGUACAAUCCAAAUAAGAAGAUAGCCAUGAAGGUUGUGAUUGAAAUCCCUGACAGCACGCCCCAUCCUACCAAGAAUCACGAGGCUGGUGCGGCAGAUGAGAGUGGCAUGUUUGUUCAGUUGUCGCCUCUAGAUUCUGCAAAAUAAUUUAUUUGGAACCCGUCUGAGCAGCAAGAGAGGCACCCCAAGAUUUUACCCCACCAAGUUGCAGCCUUGGGAUUGAUCAUAGUGAGGCUAAACCACCCAUAGAUCCUAUGCAUGUCGCUUUCGCUUUCUUGGCAAGCACGGUCACGAUGAUGGAGCAGCCCAAUAUUGAUGGCCAGAUGGUUGUGGAGUUUGCAGAGCUUAUAGUACAAGGUAACCUUUUCAUGUUCAUGGCAAAUUCUUUUUUAUGUGUGAUGGAAAAUCUUAUGUGUUGUAUGUGGCAUUUGUAGUUAAGAUUACAUGGCAACUUCAAUGUCCUUGUUAUUUUCGUGUUGGUCUGAACCUCAACCGACAUGUCAAAUGCAGUUGAUGUCACAUUUUCUUCUUACAUAUUAGGUCCAUGGCAAAUAUAGUUGAUCUCAGUAGGCAUGGCAAAUGAUGUUUGACUUCUCACUGCAAAUAUUGUCGAUCUCACAUGGUUAAUGUAAUUGUUCUCCAUGGCAAUUGUAGUGUAUUCCAGAGGCAAAAUCGUAUUUUUUGCUUUUUUACUGUCAAACAUAGAUGAUCCAUGUUCAUAUCAGUUUUUGUUUGGAUGACACUGGAAAACAACAUUCUUCAUACAUUGUAUUUUAAAAUUGACCUUGCAUGGCAACUUCACACGUUUAAUUCUAAUUCAUGUGUUCUUCUUUUCUUGCGGCAACACGUGAUGAGAUUUCGCCUUCUCUUGAUGAAGCUUACCACAAGAUUAUGCAGGAUGCCAUAAAUAGGUGGUCAUUGCACAACCAUGGCCAACCAAGUUCUUGUGCUCCUGAUGUACUAGUGUUUGAUGAUGUAGUCAGAAGUGCAUCCCCUGGUUCUCUGAGGCAGGCGAGGGUAGUUCGCGCACCCCCGGCGAAAGAUUUUCAGCCCGAGUUUAGGGAUACAAUGGAGAAGUCUCUUUUCUAUGAUGUUGUCACACGUUUGGGAAAUGCGAGGUCAAACAACAAACACAUGAAGGAGCCAAGAGAGUAAUGACUAUCCCACCCACCCCUUCUUGUUUUUUAAUCAUAUUUAUUUUGCCAUGUUUGAUUAUUUUUUUGUUUUCUGCAAAAAUAUCCUUAUUUCAUGUUAUAUCAUUUUCAUACGGCUCAUGUUUGGAGAGAACUAAAAUCAUUCAAUGAGAUGUGACGUAUGUUGACCUUGGUGAUCUUGCCGAGUCCGUGGGGCCCACAGGUAGAAUGUCGCUGAAUGUAGUUGCAUGUGGGAUCAACUUCAUCAACAAGCAUGUGGACACUUGCACCAACAAGACCAUCAUAUCCUAAAGCGUAACGAGAAAAAUAUUCAGUGGCGACUUCCACCAUGCCAUUGUCAUGAAACAUUUUGCUCCGCACAGUGUUUUCAAGCUCACUUGGAAACAAAUUGUGAGUGUUUCGCCUUCAAGAGUUUUUUCUUGACAUGUUGUGUUGCUACAUAGUUAUAUUCCAUAUGUAUUUUAGCGCCUUCAUGGCAUCUGUUUUUAAACACAUGUGGCAACUUUACUGAAACGCGCAUGGCAACUCUACUUAAAGGGUGAUGGCAACUUUAGUGAAACAUAGAUGGCAACUUUAGUGAAUCACAUAUGGAAAUUGUAACUCUUUUUCAAGAAACAAGACAUCAACUACGUUAUGUUUGGUUGAGACGACUAUUGAUGCCUCGUUCAUUUAGACAGUUCAUGGCAAGUUCCCCGCACAACACAUGCCAACUUCAACCAACUAUUUUCAUGUUAAUUAUUUUUUUGUUGUUGCGGAUCAUGUUUCCUAUGUUCCAACUGCUUGCACGAGAUAACCCAGUAGACAAGUGUGGUCAUCACGACACCAUAUGCAUUGACCUGAAGCACCAAUAGUUUGAGGUCCUUGAUUCUGUGCAUUCAGGAGAAGAUGGUGUUGUCACGCCCAAGAUGCGACCCUAUCCUCAAUUUGGCACGAAGGCCUCGUCAGGGAUAGAAGCGCAUCUCGUCGUGUCGCAAGAAUGGAUAUCGUUACAAAUACAUGCACUGAAAAGAAGAGAUAUAUAUACAGAGUAGGCUUACACUCGCCACAAGCUACAUCAGGGUCACAUCAGUACAUUACAUAAUCAUCAAGAGUAAGAGCAGGGUCCGACUACGGACGAAAACAAACGAGAAAAAUAAGAACGACGUCCAUCCUUGCUAUCCCAGGCUGCCGUCCUGGAACCCAUCCUAGACCGAUGAAGAAGAAGAAGAAGCAACUCCAAAUGAACAAUCAACGCGCUCGCGUCAAGUAACCUUUACGUGUACCUGCAACUGGUGUUGUAGUAAUCUGUGAGCCACAGGGGACUCAGCAAUCUCAUUUCCAAAGGUAUCAGGACCAGCAAAGCUUAAUGAGUGAGGUAUGGUUAAGUGGUGAGGUUNNNNNNNNNNNNNNNNNNNNNNNNNNNNNNNNNNNNNNNNNNNNNNNNNNNNNNNNNNNNNNNNNNNNNNNNNNNNNNNNNNNNNNNNNNNNNNNNNNNNNNNNNNNNNNNNNNNNNNNNNNNNNNNNNNNNNNNNNNNNNNNNNNNNNNNNNNNNNNNNNNNNNNNNNNNNNNNNNNNNNNNNNNNNNNNNNNNNNNNNNNNNNNNNNNNNNNNNNNNNNNNNNNNNNNNNNNNNNNNNNNNNNNNNNNNNNNNNNNNNNNNNNNNNNNNNNNNNNNNNNNNNNNNNNNNNNNNNNNNNNNNNNNNNNNNNNNNNNNNNNNNNNNNNNNNNNNNNNNNNNNNNNNNNNNNNNNNNNNNNNNNNNNNNNNNNNNNNNNNNNNNNNNNNNNNNNNNNNNNNNNNNNNNNNNNNNNNNNNNNNNNNNNNNNNNNNNNNNNNNNNNNNNNNNNNNNNNNNNNNNNNNNNNNNNNNNNNNNNNNNNNNNNNNNNNNNNNNNNNNNNNNNNNNNNNNNNNNNNNNNNNNNNNNNNNNNNNNNNNNNNNNNNNNNNNNNNNNNNNNNNNNNNNNNNNNNNNNNNNNNNNNNNNNNNNNNNNNNNNNNNNNNNNNNNNNNNNNNNNNNNNNNNNNNNNNNNNNNNNNNNNNNNNNNNNNNNNNNNNNNNNNNNNNNNNNNNNNNNNNNNNNNNNNNNNNNNNNNNNNNNNNNNNNNNNNNNNNNNNNNNNNNNNNNNNNNNNNNNNNNNNNNNNNNNNNNNNNNNNNNNNNNNNNNNNNNNNNNNNNNNNNNNNNNNNNNNNNNNNNNNNNNNNNNNNNNNNNNNNNNNNNNNNNNNNNNNNNNNNNNNNNNNNNNNNNNNNNNNNNNNNNNNNNNNNNNNNNNNNNNNNNNNNNNNNNNNNNNNNNNNNNNNNNNNNNNNNNNNNNNNNNNNNNNNNNNNNNNNNNNNNNNNNNNNNNNNNNNNNNNNNNNNNNNNNNNNNNNNNNNNNNNNNNNNNNNNNNNNNNNNNNNNNNNNNNNNNNNNNNNNNNNNNNNNNNNNNNNNNNNNNNNNNNNNNNNNNNNNNNNNNNNNNNNNNNNNNNNNNNNNNNNNNNNNNNNNNNNNNNNNNNNNNNNNNNNNNNNNNNNNNNNNNNNNNNNNNNNNNNNNNNNNNNNNNNNNNNNNNNNNNNNNNNNNNNNNNNNNNNNNNNNNNNNNNNNNNNNNNNNNNNNNNNNNNNNNNNNNNNNNNNNNNNNNNNNNNNNNNNNNNNNNNNNNNUAAAUCUAAUCACACGACGGAAACGGAAUUGAAGGGGGAAUCUUCUGGAAUGUCGGUCUGGGCUGUCACAACUCUCCUACACUACAAGAGGACCUCGCCCCGAGAUCCAAGAAUGAAAGGGGGGAGAGGAUAAGAAAGAACAAGAUGUAAACUUAGUCGCUUCUUUGACAACGAGUGAAACAAUGAUCCCUGAAGGUUGCAAAGCGAUGAGGAAUGAAAUGAGAAAGAAGUAAAAUUCACGGAAAAUUUCGGCAGCACUUCGGUAGGAAAAUGGGACAAAAAAAUUCGAUAAGACGAGAGAAUUAGACAAUAUACACAACAAAUUAGUAAAUAGAACAAGGGAACACCAUGAUCUUGAUAGAACGACAUGAUAGACCCAAAAGAGCAACAUCACAAUGCCUCCGGAACAAGAGAAUAUGAACUAGCUCAAGCAGAAAAAGAGAAUGAACAAAAGAAUGCCAACUAUCAUCACCAUAGGAUUGAAGAGCCUCCGGACAGAGAAUUGACGUAGCAAUUGGAAAACCAACAACGAAAAGAACAAGAAAGUAGUGGGCUUAUGAGAAUCAUCUCAACAAAUGUGAAGUGACAACCAACCUCUAAAAGAAACAAGAAUAGAAGAAAGAAAAGAUAUCAAAACUUCUUACACCAAGAGGGUGCAUUGAGAACUGGGAUUAAUGACAAGCACCAUGAUAGCACAAUCCAUAGGAAAAGCUUUAGGUGAAGUCCAAACCAAGAUAGCUCAAUGAAGAAAUCAUGGUUGAAAAUAUCUCAUGAUCAAAGAAUCGGUGGAUUUAAUUAUCUCAUUCUCGAAAGGAAAACUCUUCGAGGCUCCUACACUAACAAGAAUGCUAUAAUACCACCGCAAAGGAUAAAGGAAGAACAAUUGCACAUAGAAAUGCAAGAGAAAGGAUACUUGAGGUACUCCAACAAGAAUCUUGAAGAACACUUGAGAAUGAAUUGAUAUCAUGACGAACCACCAUGAAGGACCUCCGUAUACCAAUGAAUGAUGCAAAGAUAUGAAGGUAGAAAAGAAUAAUAUUAUGACCUUGCUAGGAUUUAGAUGAAGCUUCACAAAAAGGUACUUGAUAAAACUUGGAACUCCAGAAAAGAAAAGAUAAAAACACUUCAGAAAAAGGAAUUGAUAUCAUGAGCCACUCCGGAAGAAGAAUUCAUAUCUCUUGGAAGAAGGAAGAACAAGGAUAAGAAUUAUGUUAUGCUCAUCCUUCAUCAAAUUAAAUUUAUGACAAGCAACGGAUUUAGCGUACCACUUAUUCCUCUAAAAAUGAGUCUUGGAGAAACAGAGAAAAAAAAACACCACUUGAAGCAUAAUUGAAGGAAGCACCGGUAAGAAAUCACAAUUAAAUGGGAAUACCAAGGAAGCAUGGAGACACAUGAGAAUGAAGAGAUCAUAAGCCACCUGAGAGAAAACUAGAACAAGGCACCGGAUAAACGAGAGACGAACGAAGAGACAACAAUUGAGAAGAAUUGAGGAUGAAAGCUGAAAGCUGAGAACGAAGAAUCUUCUAAAAUGAUGGCCUUCGGAGGAACGAGAAUGAAAACAACUCAGAAAACCACCGGAUAGCGAGAAAGGGAUACUCAUGAUUGACAAUAGUUAAGAUGAUGGCACAAAGCUGAAAUGACAAUCUUCAAGAGAACGGACCAAGAUUUGAGAAAACACACCUUCAGACUGUAAGCUGAGAAUGAUGAGAAAAACACCACCAAGAAUUACUGAGACACUCCGGAAUCAUGAAGAAUGAAAGGUUGAGCCAAAUAUGAGAAUUAAUUCAAAUUGAUCUUGAAGAAGGGAUAUGACUGAUGAAAUUCAUACUUACAUCAUAGCUGAAAAGAAUUAAGAGAUCUCCGAGAAAAGAUUAAAAGAGCCAGGUAAGAUCCUGGGAAAGAACCUGUGGGUUAUGGGCCCACUCAAAGAAACCACCGUUAGAAAAGAUUGCUUAGAAGAGAGAUAAUGCACCGGUAUGAAGAGAACUAGAUGAGGUUAGCACCUCGAAAUAAUGAAAGAUCUGAAACAAGAAACUCUAAGAUGUCUUCAACACACCGGAUAGAAUAGAGAUAACUGAAUAAUAGGAUAGGCUGAUAAGAAUCUCCAACAUGGGAAAGAAUUACAAGGAUGAAUAGGAUAUGAAGACACGGAUAAUUAAAUUGAAUUCACCGGAAAAGAUAACAAUAUUGAAUACAGAUGAACACGAAGCUCCUGAGAAUCUUCACAACGAAUCACCGGAUAGGACACGGAAUAAAAGAUAGCGGAAGCAACAAUGAAAAGAAAACUCUUGGAUGAAAAUUGAAUCAUUGACGAAAAAGGGUGGGAUGGCGGGGAAAAACAAAGACAACUUGAGACAGAUGAGAUAACUCCGGAAAGAAAUGAGACAUUGAUCUUGCAAAAUUGGAGAGGAUAGAAUUCAGUUGAGGAGACGCACACCGGUUCGAAAAGAAUUAACAUGACGACUCCGGUUGACAAAAUUGAUGAGACAAUUGAUUGAGCAAAAGGAUUAGCACUCUCACAUAAAAAUAUGAGAACACAGAUUAGGAAAGAUUUGAAAUCACCACUUGACAUCGAAGCAACUUGAAUUACCAUAUUCCAACAAAACAAAGGGUGAGGCUUAUGAAACAAGCCAGAACAAACUCAUGAGAAAGAUUUCGUCCGAUAUUUUCGUGGACAGGAAUCCACUAGAUGUCGAACCCCAACCUAACAUCAUGCAUUUGUUGGAAGAUUGUCCUAUAAGCAACUACUUAAAUUCCCACCUAAGAAUUCUCGAAAUAUCUGGUCAUGCAAUCUGGUACACGGAUACAAGGAGUAAUAUCACACAACUCCUAUACUAACCCGUCACCUGUAUCACAUCCGUCAACACACAACCAGAAUCUCGGACCUUCAUCUACAACAGACCCUCGUGAUCACAACGAUACCAAGUAUGGCAAUACUCCCAAACAAUCUGCACCAGUACUGGGGACAUCGGGGUUAUCUCGCCACUACUAGUAUUGAAGCAAUUACGAACAUCCUUCGUUAUGAGAUACUAAGAAAUCUGAAUGAUAACGAUGUGCUCAAGAAUUCCCUGGAGCUCAACGCCCCUGAGACUUAGAGCAGAUAGGAGGCACCAAGACAGAACUCCGUCACAUCGGCAUCAUAUAGAUUCCAAAAAUAUCUGCAUGAUCCUAAAAAAAAUGAGUGAGAAGAGAAGUAGAAUAAAUUAUUACGUCAAGAUUCCUCACGAGAGCAUAGAAGAGGAGAAAAAAGAAUCCUGCUCUCUGAUAUAUAACUAGACUCAAAUCAGUUUUUCGCUAGACUCGACUCGGCCAAAUUCGAUCAAUCAAGGGGGCUCCUAGGUCAGUACUGCUCUGAUACCAACUUGUCACGCCCCAGAUGUGACCCUAUCCUCAAUUUGGCACGAAGGCCUCGUCAGGGAUAGAAGCGCAUCUCGUCGUGUCGCAAGAAUGGAUAUCGUUACAAGUACAUGCACUGAAAAGAAGAGAUAUAUACAGAGUUGGCUUACACUCGCCACAAGCUACAUCAGGGUCACAUCAGUACAUUACAUAAUCAUCAAGAGUAAGAGCAGGGUCCGACUAUGGACGAAAACAAAUGAGAAAAAUAAGAACGACGUCCAUCCUUGCUAUCCCAGGCUGCCGGCCUGGAACCCAUCCUAGAUCGAUGAAGAAGAAGAAGAAGAAGAAGAAGCAACUCCAAAUGAACAAUCAACACGCUCGCGUCAAGUAACCUUUACGUGUACCUGCAACUGGUGUUGUAGUAAUCUGUGAGCCACAAGGGACUCAGCAAUCUCAUUUAAAAAGGUAUCAGGACUAGCAAAGCUUAAUGGGUGAGGUAUGGUUAAGUGGUGAGGUUGCAGCAGCGGCUAAGCAUAUAUUUUGUGGCUAACUUACGAGUACAAGAAAUAAGAGGGAAGAUCUACGCAUAACGGACGUGAGCUACUGAUGAUCAAAAGAAUGAUCCUGAACACCUACCUACGUCAGACAUAACCCCACCGUGUCCUCGAUCGGAGCAGGGCUCACGAAAGAGACAGUCACGGUUACGCACACAGUUGGCAAGUUUUAAUUAAGUUAACUUCAAGUUAUCUAGAACCGGUGUUAAACAAAGCUUCCACGUUGCCACAUAACCGCGGGCACGGCUUUCCGAAAGAUUUAACCCUGCAGAGGUGCUCCAACUAGUCCAUCACAAAUUACCACAAGCCGCAUAGAAAUCCUCAAUCACGAAGCUCGCGAUCUCGUCGGAUUCCCUAGUGGAAAACCUCAACUGUGAGAUUACCCAAAGCAUCACCGGAAUCCCGAUGCACAAGAUAUCUCGUCAAAGGUAAAACUAAUCCAGCAAGGCCGCCCAACGUGUCGACGAUCCCGAUAGGAGUCGCGUACCUCGUUCUCAGGACACGACGGAUGAGCGAUGGUUACCACGCCAAACGCCGAGUUGCCCCGGGUAGCGUUAAUAAGCUGCUCUGUUUUGGACCAACACUCAUGAGGAGCACUGGCCCGGGGGUUUAUUAAAAUAGUCCGCGGGUGCCGGCGGGUCCCUAUGCAUUAUUAUUAGGUUAUUAGGCAAAUGUAGUACCAAAGUUGGGCCUUGCCAGACCAGCUUUAAUCUAAAACGAAUUAUCAAGGGGGUCCCCAUAACAACCCCGAUCGUGUUAGGAGCGCUCGAUUAUGGAACAUAACACCGGUAGCCGGAAACUAAGGGGGCAAAGGUGGAACAAAACACCAGGCUAGAAAGGCCGAGCCUUCCACCUUUUACCAAGUAUAUAGGUGCAUUAAAUUAAAUAGCAUUUAAAUAUGGUGAUAUAACAAGGAACCCAUGUAAUCACAUGGAANNNNNNNNNNNNNNNNNNNNNNNNNNNNNNNNNNNNNNNNNNNNNNNNNNNNNNNNNNNNNNNNNNNNNNNNNNNNNNNNNNNNNNNNNNNNNNNNNNNNNNNNNNNNNNNNNNNNNNNNNNNNNNNNNNNNNNNNNNNNNNNNNNNNNNNNNNNNNNNNNNNNNNNNNNNNNNNNNNNNNNNNNNNNNNNNNNNNNNNNNNNNNNNNNNNNNNNNNNNNNNNNNNNNNNNNNNNNNNNNNNNNNNNNNNNNNNNNNNNNNNNNNNNNNNNNNNNNNNNNNNNNNNNNNNNNNNNNNNNNNNNNNNNNNNNNNNNNNNNNNNNNNNNNNNNNNNNNNNNNNNNNNNNNNNNNNNNNNNNNNNNNNNNNNNNNNNNNNNNNNNNNNNNNNNNNNAGACAUAAACGGUAGCAACGGUAAAACUAGCAUGGCAAUGAUAGUAAUGGUAUCUGGGGAAAUGGUCAUCUUGCCUGAGAUCCCGCUUGGAAGAAGAACAUCUCCGUGAAGCAGGCGAACCAACGUAGUCGAACGGGUCCUCACAUUCCGACACGCUUGCGGAACUCUAUCAAGACGGAGCAAACCGGAAACAAACAUCAACACAGAUAUUCACCACACGAUGCACAACAUGAUGCAUACCCUAAUAUGAUGCAUGAUCAGUUCAAUAUGCAAGGGAUGGCAUGGCAAAUCACCUCACGCAAACACUACACAUCAAUUGAAGCUCGAUAUGCAACGGGUUACAUACCGACGAAACUCCACNNNNNNNNNNNNNNNNNNNNNNNNNNNNNNNNNNNNNNNNNNNNNNNNNNNNNNNNNNNNNNNNNNNNNNNNNNNNNNNNNNNUAAAUCUAAUCACACGACAGAAAUGGAAUAGAAGGGGGAAUCUUCUGGAAUGUCGGUCUGGGCUGUCACAGGUGUCCUCAUGAGUCAUGUUGAAUACUUUAUCGACAACCUCAAAGAAACCUAGAUCCAUCAUUAUGGAGGAUCAAUGGUCAAGACCAGUCACUUUCCAAUCGAGUACGUCAUGACGGCCAAGAAAGGGAACGGGUAAAGUAUUUUUGACCCAACGCCCAUGGGUUUUCUACUUCAUUUGAUUUUUAGUUUUCCUAAAAGUUUUGUUUGUUGCAUGUGUUGCCUUGCUUUUCGUCGUAGAUGUGACCGCGUCUACUAUAUGUUGGAAUACCUUGCAAAGUGGGAAGGAUGAAGGGUUCUUUAUAUCACAGAUGCAAGUGUAGCCGAGUUCCAUAAAAUCUUGACUUGGAACUGGGUCAGGAAUGUAGAUUUUAACAGGCAGCCUUCAGCACGGGAUUUCAUUGAGGGGGUUGUCAAAGCCUCCAACAAGAAGUAUCAGUGAUCACGUGGUGGUCGAUGCCCAUGUAUGCCUUACAUUCUUUUGCCGGAUGAAUGUAAGGUAUCAUCUAUGUCUUUGAAACCAUGUCCAUGUGGUACGUUAUCUCUUUCACUAUAAUCGCACUUUUUAAUGGCAACUUGUAUCCCCCUUUAAUCAUGUAAUAUAUGUGUACAACUUGAUCUGUUAGGUAUAAUAACUACUACUGAUGUUUCUUGUGUUGUGAUUGUAUUAAUGUCUAGAAAGGUAUGGUUCUUGCAUCGUUUGUGCGCUGGUCCGAAAUGGGCUUUGAAAUUCUGAUGCCAUCUGUUAGCUUGUUCAUGGUCUUUUUGGGACGCGGCAGUUGGUUCAAAACUCUAACAAAGAAGUUGUGUACAUUUUGCAACUGUUUAUCUAUAGAACUCGGUCAAUCAUGGAUGGUGCACUAAGUCAGCCUAGUAUUUUUCAUUAUAGUAUGAGCACGUAAAAGGUUUAUGAACUUUGUUAAAUUCUUGUUAUGCGUGCAUUUACGAGGCAAAUACCUUGUAGUCUCGAGUGGAUGUGAUGUGUGAUUUUCUACUAGGAAAUUGUAGUUUAUUAUGAGAUAUUUUCCUCAUGGCAAUUGUAGUUUAUAUCACAUGGCAUUUAUAAUGCACGACACAUGGCAAAUAUAGGUCAACGCACAUGGCGGCUUUACCUACAUGAGUGCGGAAAAUAUAGUGAUGUACAUGUUGAAAUUUCUACAUAUUGUCCACAUGGGAACUACAACAUUUUUGAAAACUUGGCAAACAUACAACUGACCACAUGUCCACUUCUAGAUAUGAUCUUGUUUUAAUUACUCUGCACUUAACACAUCAAGUAUAUUACUUCAUGCAUUUGCAAAUGUGGUUCUCUCCCACGGCAAUGUCAGUAGUACAUAGAUGGCAAUUAUUUUUUGUCAAUGAUUCGUAUGUGGCCAAUACAAUAAUACUCACAUGAUGGGUACAGUAAUAGCUAUAUGACAAUUAUUAUUAUUUUCCAAGAAUGUGUGCACUGCAAACGGCGUUGCUAUCCCAUGGCAGUUCUAGUAAUAGAUACAUGGCUCCUUUUUCAUUUUUUAUAAUCCAAUACCAAUACCGCUCACUCUUCUAACUCAUAAUCAUAUAUGUCGCAAAAUUUUCACUAACCGCAAAUCUAGCAUCCCCCAUGGUUGCCUAUGGGUUGCCACCUCAUUUCCUUGGUUUCUUGUGCUUUGCUUGAAUAACUAACCCUGACUUGUAUCUCACCUACUUUGGACGCCCUUUUGUGACGGACGGUGGCGGGUUCCUAACAUGUGUCUGUGUGUUUGAUGCUCCAGACCCUACUUCUGAGUUUUCAGAGGACGGCCCCGUGGAUGUAGGUGCACUAGAACUAUGUGAGGAUCUAUGUAAGGCCUCCUGAGCCUCCCUUUUUUUGAUCUCAUCGAGCUCUCUUUUCAAGGUCUUUAUGUGUUUGUCUACUACCAUUGCCAUAUCAUCACUCUUGCAUGGGUCAUCUAUUAGUUCAACAUAUUUCUUAAUCAAGACCAUGUGCCUCACGGAGUCCAUGGUUGCCUCCGGUGUUUCCUCAUGCACAAUGAAGACUGCAUUCGAUGUUUGUGGCCCUAAUGCAUCGUUAACGUCCCAAGUCAAUCGAAGGCAUAUGAAAUGGCAGGGAAAAUGCUUUACCGUGUGCACAUCCGUAACUUUGAAUAUGUGGCAGCACACAAUAUCAUCCCCUUUAUACUUGCAGCAUUCGCAAUAGUAAUCACCAUCAUUUAUGUUGGCCUUCACAAAGUAGUUUCUUCCUUUGUACGGCUCUCCAGGUUUUGAUUCAGACAUGUCCCUGAGGUUACACACCGUGAAUGUCCAUUCGUCAAUCUGAUAAGCGGCAUAUGAGGAGGAACCCAUUAUUUCUUUGUGGAACCUGCAUGUUUUGUGUUCAUUAAUUUCUCAUUUCUUUCUAGCAGUAUUUGAUUGUUUUAUAGUAGGCCACAAAUAGCAACCAUACUAAAUUCAACACGGCAAACAAAGCAUACUACACAUGCCAUGUUUGAUUGUUUCCACAUGGCAACUAUAGUUCAUUUCAUAUUGCAUUCAAAGUGUGACGCACACGGUAAUCAUUAUGUUUUCUUGCAUUUUUUGCACAUGUGAAUCUAGCAGGUGUACAUGGCAUGUCAUAGUAGGGCAAACAGGGCAAUUAUAGUGCAUUCAACAUGGCAAAUAAAGUGUAAUACUUAUGGAAAUUAUGGUUGUUUUAAUAUGGCAAUUGCAACAACUUUUCCCAUGGCAACCAUAUUUCAUCCUAAAUAGCAACCACCUUGGAUUCUACAUCGCAAUUACACUACAUUUCACAUGGAAAAUAUAUUACAUUGAAGAUGGCAAUCACAUUUUCAGAACACAUGGCAACUGAUUUGUUUUCCAUUUUGUCAUAUGUAGUACAUUUUCAUCUUGCAAACAUAGUUCAUUCUACAUGGCAACUUGAUUCGAUUACCCAUAGCAAACAUAUUUGUUAUUUGUGUGUUACUUUUGCAACACAUAGCAUACACCAUGGUUCUUGCUUUUUCAUACCCAUUUUUUAAUAACGAUGAUGGUGAAUGCAUUCUGCCAUACACGUUAAAUAAGCCCGUACGAGCGUACACUUACUUGAAAAAUAUUUUCUUGGUGUAUAUUUUGCUCAUCUACCUCUCCAUUGGUAAGUACGUGAGUAAUUUAUGUUUCUUAAGUGUUGUGUUCGCUUCUUGUUGCAGUUUUAAAGCCAGUAUUUUCUGCUGCAAAGUUGUAUAUUACUUGGUAAACUGUAGCAAUGAGUUGUUGGGGCUCACAUAAUGCUUCAAAACAGCAUUGAAACCCUCAUUGUGUUGUGUAGUUUGCAUAAAUGGAUAGAGCACUCAUAAAGUAGGCUAGAACUGUUGGGGAGCGUUGCAUGGGAAGCAAAAAAAUUCUUACGCACGCAAAGACCUAUCAUGGUGAUGAUCAUCUACGAGAGCGAGAUCGGAUCUACAUACCCUUGUAGAUCGCUAAGCGGGAAACGUUAAGAAACGUGGUGACGAUCAUCACGUGAGUCGAGUAUAGUUUCAGUGGUGAACAUCUCCAUGUUGAUCAUAUCAACUAUAUGAUUCAUGCUCGACCUUUCGAUCUCUUGUGUUCCGAGGCUAUGUCUGUACAUGCUAGGCUCGUCAAGUUUAACCCGAGUGUUCCCCGUGUGCAACUAUUUUGCACCCGUUGUAUGUGAACGUUGAGUCUAUCACACCCGAUCAUCACGUGGUGUCUCGAAACGACAAACUUUCGCAACGGUGAACAGUUGGGGAGAACACAAUUUUAUCUUGAAAUUUUAGUGAGGGAUCACCUUAUAUGCUAUCGUCGUUAUAAGAAAAAUAAGGUGCAUAAAAGGAUUAACAUCACAUGCAAUUCAUAAGUGACAUGAUAUGGCCAUGAUCUUGUGCUUCUUGAUCUCCAUCACAAAAGCACCGGCAUGAUCUUCAUCAUCACCGACGCCACACCAUGAUCUCCAUCAUCAUGAUCUCCAUCAUUGUGCGGCCAUCGAGGUUGUCGUGCUAUCUAUGCUAUCACUACUAAAGCUACUAUCUAGCAAUAUAGUAAACGCAUCUGCAAGCACAAAUGGUAGUUUAAAGAUAACCCUAUAGCUCAUGCCGUAGCAUCGACGUGCAAGUCGAUAUUUAACUAUUACAACAUGAUCAUCUCAUACAUCCAAUAUGGCACAUUGCUACCUCUUGAGGUUGCGUUGGUUUUUCCCUUGAAGAGGAAAGGGUGACGCAGCACAGUAGUAGUAAGUAUUUCCCUCAGUUUGAGAACCAAGGUAUCAAUCCAGUAGGAAUAUCAAGAUGAGGCACCAAUGUACCGGCGCAAAAAACAAACAAACUUGCACCCAACGCUAUAAAGGGGUUGUCAAUCCCUUCACGAUUAUUUGCAAGGUGAGAUCUGAAGGUGGAAAGUGCAACAAAGUAAAAGUGUAGAUCUGAAAAUAUGAUGUGAAGUAGACCCGGGGGCCAUAGUGUUCACUAGAGGCUUCUCUCAUGAUAGCAAGUGUUACGGUGGGUGAACGAAUUACUGUCGAGCAAUUGAUAGAAUCGUGCAAAGUCAUGAUGAUAUCUAAGGCAAUGAUCAUACAUAUAGGCAUCACGUCCGAGACAAGUAGACCGACACUGUCUGCAUCUACUACUAUUACUCCACACAUCGACCGCUAUCCAGCAUGCAUCUAGUGUAUUGAGUUCAUAACAAACAGAGUAACGCCUUAAGCAAGAUGACAUGAUGUAGAGGGAUAAAUUCAUGCAAUAGAUAUAAACCCCAUAUUUUUACCCUUGAUGGCAACAAAACGAUGCAUGCCUCGCUACCCCGUCUGUCACUAGGUGAGGACACCGCACGGUAUGAACCCAAAACCAAGCACUUCUCUCAUUGCAAGAAUUAUAGAUCAAGUUGGCCAAACAAAACCCACAACUCGAAGAGAAUUACAAGGAUAUGAAAUCAUGCAUAUAAGAGAUUAGAGGAGACUCAAAUAACAUUCACAGAUAAUCUGAUCAUAAAUCCGCAAUUCAUCGGAUCUUGACAAACACACCGCAAAAGAAGGUUACAUCGGAUAGAUCUCCAUGAAGAUCAUGGAGAACUUUGUAUUGAACAUCCAAGAGAGAGAAGAAGCCAUCUAGCUACUAGCUAUGGACCCGAAGGUCUGUGGUGAACUACUCACGCAUGUAUGUUGUUCCCUUUGUCCUUCGGUAUGUUACUUGCCUGAGAUACGAUCGUCGGUAUCUCCAUACCUAGUUCAAUCCCUUUACCGGUAAGUCUUUUUGCUCGUUCUGUAUUACAAGAUCCCAUGACUAACUUGUUAGUCACAUUGCUUGCAAGGCUUAUUGUGAUGUUGUAUUACCGAGUGGGCCCCGAGAUACCUCUGCGUCACACGGAGUGACAAAUAUGAGUCUUGAUCCAUGCCAACCCAACAGACACCUUCGGAGAUACCUGUAGAGCACCUUUAUAGUCACCCAGUUACAUUGCGACGUUUGAUACACACAAGGUAUUCCUCCGGUGUCCGUGAGUUGCAUGAUUUCAUGGUCAUAGGAACAGAUACAUUGACAUGGAGAAAACAGUAACAAUAAACUGACACGGUCAUAUGCUACGUUUAUAGUUUGGGUCUUGUCCAUCACAUCAUUCUCCUAAUGAUGUGAUCCUGUUGUCAAGUGACAACACUUGUCUAUGGCCAGGAAACCUUGAACAUAUUUGAUCAACGAGCUAGUCAACUAGAGGCUCACUAGGGACAGUGUGUUGUCUAUGUAUCCACACAUGUAUUUGAGUUUCCAAUCAAUACAAUUCUAGCAUGGAUCAUAAACGAUUAUCAUGAACAAGGAAAUAUAAUAAUAACUAAUUUAUUAUUGCCACUAGGGUAUAUUUCCAACAAGAACCUAGUGCAUUUUCUUCUCCUAUCGAUUUUGAAGUGUCUCAUUUGCCUGAACUUGAUAUUUUUCAAUCAUACCCAUGCAGCCUCGUUCAAACUCUUCCACUAUCAAACUAUGUCCAUGCACAACUCGAAUUCGUUAUGUUGACGGUCUGAUAAGAACAGUAAGAGAGUCUCUUCUACCAUCCUUAUAAUAUGCCACCUUGAGUGCGUGUAGACUGCCACGGGCAAUACCUCAUUUAUGCCUCCUCGCAUGCUAAAGUAUUCGUCUAUUAUCAUGUGAAAGGAUGUGGAUGUCUCCUUGAGGGGGGUGAAUAUGCGCUUUAAAAUAAUUAUGCUUUAGGCUUGAACAAAUCCGGAAUAAAACUACCAUUUAAUUAGUCAAGCACAAAACCUAAAACAACUAGGCUCACCUAUGUGCACCAACAACUUAUGCUAAGUAAAUAAAUAACUAAGUGAUAGCAAGAUAUAUAAUAUGAAACAAUAUGGAUAUCACAAAGUAAAGUGCGUAAGUAAAGGGCUCAGGUAAGAGAUAACCGAGGCAUGUAGAGACGAUGAUGUAUCCCAAAGUUCACACCCUUACGGAUGCUAGUCUAUGUUUGUAGUGGUGUGGAGGCACACUUCUCCCCAAGAAGACACUAGGGCCACCAUAAUCUCCUCACGCCCUCGCAUAAUGCAAGAUGUUGUGAUUCCACUAAGGGACCCUUGAGGGUAGUCACCGAACCUGUACAAAUGGCAACCCUUAGGGACAGUCACAGAACCCCUACACUUUGGCAACCCUUGGGGGUGAUCACUGGAACCCAUACAAAUUGCUCGAGGCAAUCUCCACAACCUAAUUGGAUACCCCGAUGCUUGCCCAAAGCUUUCCACCACAAUGAUUGAGCUCUGGGGCACCACCGACCAUCUAGGACGCCAAAGCACCCAAGAUGCACAAGCUUUAGGGUACAAAGCACCCAAGAGUAAGAAGCUUCUCAACUUUUCACUUCCACAUAUCAUCGUGGAGAAUUCAAACUGAUGCAAUUAAUGCAAUGGCAAGAACACACGAAGUGGUCAAGUACCUCACUCUAAAAUUCCACCACAAUAAUAAAAUCUAAGGAGGAAUAUGAGAGGAAGAAUAAGGAGCUCAUAAAGAACCCAAAGAUCUAGAUCCAAGGGGUUCCCCUCACAUGGAGGAGACAGUGAUUGGUCGAAACGUAGAUCUAGAUCUCCUCUCUCUUUUCCCUCAAGAACUAGCAAGAAUCAUUUGAGAGAUUGAGAGUUCAAGCUUGAAGAAGGUCAACAAUGGGGGGCAAAUAUGAGCUCAAAGGAUGAAUACCAUUGGGAAAGAAGGCCCCCUUAAAUAGGCCUCCCCAAAUCCAACUGUUAUGUGCACUAGUCGUGCACAAGCGCUACUACCGCUUAGCAGAGCAGUACUACCGCUUAGUGUGGUAGAACCAGGGAAAAAUGAGCAGGUGGCUAUAAAAUUGAGGCGGUAGUGUCACCGGAGCAGUACUACCACCCAUGCCAGCGGUACAUCCGCUAGGAACAGCAUGAGCGGGUGAAACCACGGUAGUAGAGUGAGGCAUCGCGGUACUACCAUAGAGAGCGGUACUACCGCCCAUAAUUUUAGUUCUAUCACCGAUCAAAGGAGUGAGCUAUCGAGACAGAAAAAUAUAAUCGGAAGUAGCAGUAGUAGCAUACAGCAGAAGUACUGCCUAAGCGGUAGUACCAUGAUACCGAGCGGUACUACCGCCUAAAGAGAGAAAUACUAUUGUGGCACUAAAACUGCCAUAACUUCCGCAUACGAGCUCCGAAUUGAGCAAACUCAAGCUUAUUGGAUAGCAGACGACAAGUACUAUCAAAAUAGUGAGUAUGAAAACGCCAAUGAUAUAGAUAUGUGAAACCUCUAUGAAUGAAGAACCGGCAAAAAAUCCAACAUCGAAAACACCAUAGGAUAUGCAUAUGGACUUCAUUUUCGAUGAACUCGAGGUUGUCAUGAAGAUGACCAUGUUGGAAAUAUGCCCUAUAGGCAAUAAUAAAUUGGUUAUUAUUAUAUUUCCUUGUUCAUGAUAAUCGUUUAUUAUCCAUGUUAGAAUUGUAUUGAUUGGAAACUCAAAUACAUGUGUGGAUACAUAGACAACACACUGUCCCUAGUGAGCCUCUAGUUGACUAGCUCGUUGAUCAAAGAUGGUUAAGGUUUCCUCGCCAUAGACAAGUGUUUUCACUUGAUAACGGGAUCACAUCAUUAGGAGAAUGAUGUGAUGAUCAUGACCCAAACUAUAAACGUAGUAUAUGAUCGUGUGAGUUUAUUGCUACUGUUUUCUGCAUGUCAAUGUAUAUAUUCCUAUGACCAUGAGAUCAUGCAAAUCCCGGACACCGGAGGAAUACCUUCUGUGUAUAGAACAUUGCAACAUUACUGGGUGACUAUAAAGGUGCUCUACAGGUAUCGCCAAAGGUGUCUGUUGGGUUGGCAUGGAUUAAGACUGGGAUUUGUCACUCCGUGUGACGGAGAGGUAUCUUGGGGCCCACUCGGUAAUACAACAUCACAAUAAUCCUUGCAAGAAAUGUGACUAAGGAGUUAGUCACGGGAUCUUGUAUCACGGAACGAGUAAAGAGACUUGCCGGUAAUGGGAUUGAACUAGGUAUGGAGAUACCGACGGUCGAAUCUCGGGCAAGUAACAUACCAAAGGACAAAGGGAACAACAUACGGGAUUAACUGAAUCCUUGACAUAGAGGUUCAACCGAUAGAUAUCUUCGUAGAAUAUGUAGGAGGCAAUAUGGACAUCCAGGUCCCGCUAUUGGUUAUUGACCGGGGAGUGUCUCAGGUCAUGUAUGCAUAGUUUCGGAACCCGCAAGGUCUGCACACUUAAGGUUCGGUGACGUUUCGGUAUAGUUGAGUUAUAGGUGUUGGUAACCGAAGGUUGUUCGGAGUCCCGGAUGAGAUCAUGGACGUCACAAGGAGCUCCAGAAUGGUCCGUAGGUAAAGAUUGAUAUAUAGGAAAGUGGUUUUUGAACUCCGGAAAAGUUUCGUACAUUGCUCGUAGUGUACUGGGGGUGACGAAUGGGUUCCGGGGGUCCACCAGGUGGGCCCAUCCACCCCAAAGGGUCUCAUGGGCUGUGGGAGGUCAUGGACCAGCCCUUAGUGGGCUUUACGAAGCCUCCACUAAAGCCCAAGGCAUAUUGGAGGUGGGAAGGAAAGAAACCCAAAGGUGGAAAAGGUGGAAAGGGUUUCCAAGUGGAGAGGACGAAUCCUACUCCUAGUGGGAUUGGAGUAGGACUCCUCCACCUCCAAUUUCGGCCAAACCUUGAGGGUUUGAGGCUGCCUCCUCCCAUCCCUCCCUCAUAUAUAUACUAUAGGUAUUAGAGGUGAGGCUAACCCUAAUUGCCACGUGCUCCCUCUACUUCUCUCUAGAUAUGGAUUGGUUUUUAGCAGCGCUUAGGCGAAGUCUUGCUGGAAUAGAUCCACCACCACCACCACCACCACCAUGCCUCCAUGCCGGAGAACUCAUCUACCUCUCCGCCCCUCUUGCUGGAUCAAGAAGGCGGGGAUCGUCAUCGAGUUGUACGUGUGCUGAACGCGGAGGUGUCGUCCGUUUGGCACUAGAUCGGGGUGGAUCGUGAUGGGAUUGCGGGACGGAUCUUGGUGAGAUCGCGGGAUAGGCUGCGAUUUGAAUCGCGAAGAUGUUCCACUACAUCAUUCGCGUUAUAUAUGCUUUUUCUUAGUGAUCUACAAGGGUAUGUAGAUUCACUCUCCCCUCUCGUAGAUGAUCAUCACCAUGGAUAGGUAUUGCAUGUGCGUAGGAAAAUUUUUGUUUCCCGUGCAACGUUCCGCAAUAGUGGCAUCGUGAGCUAGGUUCAUGCGUACACGAUAUUUUGAGUAGAACACAAACGAGUUUGUGGUCAUUGAUGUUCAAUUUGCUGCCCUCCUUAGUAUUUUCUUGAUUCGGCGGUAUUGUUGGAUUGAAGCGGCCCGGACCAACUUUACUCGUACGCUUACGAGAGACCGGUUUCAUCGACUGACAUGCAACUUGUUGCAUAAAGAUGAUUGGCGGGUGUCUGUUUCUUCAACUUUAGUUGAAUCGGAUUUGACCGAGCCGGUCCUUGGAGAAGGUUAAAUAGAAAUUUGCAUAUCACCGUUGUGGCGUUGUGUAAGUAAGAUGCAAUCAUGCUAGAUACCCAUAGCAGUCACGUAAAACAUGCAACAACAAAUUAGAGAAUAUCUAACUUGUUUUUGUAGGGUAUGCAUGUGAUGUGAUAUGGCCAAAGACAUGAUAUGAUAUAUUGGAUGUAUGAGAUGAUUAUGUUUUAAUAGUUAAAUAUCGACUUUCACGUCGAUGGUACGGCAACCGGCAGGAGCCAUAGGGUUGUCUUUAAACUAAUGUUUGUUCUUGCAAAUGCUUUUACUAUAUCGUUAGGUAGUAGGUUUAGUAGUAAUAGCAUAGAUAGCGCGACAACCUUGAUGGCGGCACAAUGAUGGAGAUCAUGAUGAUGGAGAUCAUGGUGCGGCGUCGGUGAGGAUGGAGAUCAUGCUAGUGCUUUGGUGAUGGAGAUAAAGAAGCACAAGUUCAUGGCCAUAUCAUGUCACUUAUGACUUGCAUGUGAAGUUAAUCCUUUUAUGCACCUUAUUUUGCUUAGAACGACGGUAGCCUUAUAAGGUGAUCCCUCACUAAAAUUUCAAGAUAAAAUUGUGUUCUCCCCGACUGUGCACCGUUGCGACAGUUCGUCGUUUCGAGACACCACGUGAUGAUCGGGUGUGAUAGACUCAACGUUCACAUACAACGGGUGCAAAACAAUUGCACACGCGGAACACUCGGGUUAAACUUGACGAGCCUAGCAUGUACAGACAUGGCCUCGGAACACAAGAGACCGAAAGGUCGGGCAUGAAUCAUAUAGUUGAUAUGAUCAACAUGGAGAUGUUCACCAUUGAAGCUAAACUCAACUCACGUGAUGAUCGGACUUGAGUUAGUGAAUUUGGAUCAUGCGACACUCGAAUGACUAGAGGGGUGUCAAUUUGAGUGGGAGUUCAUAAGUAAUAUGAUUAACCGAACUCAUUAUCGUGAACAUAGUCAAAAGGUCUUUGCAAAUUAUGUUGUAGCUUGCGUUGUAGCUCUACUGUUUUAGAUAUAUUCCUGGAGAAAAUUUAGUUGAAAGAUGAUGGUAAAAAUUAUGCGGAGUGGGUCCGCAAACUGAGGAUUGUUCUCAUUACUGCGCAGAAGACUUAUGUCCUUAAUGCACCGCUCACUGUGCUAAACCCCGAGCGUCGUCUGUGGAUGUUGCGAACAUCUGACAUACACGUUUUUCAUGACUAAUGAUACUUCAGUGGAUAAUGCUUCAAUCAGCUUAGAAUUGAGGCGCUGAAGAUGUUUCGAACGUCACGGAACAUAUGAGAUGUUCCAAGAUAUGAAAUUGGGAUUUCAUGCUCGUGCCCUUGUUGAGAGGUAUGAGACCUCCGACAAGAUUCUUUGUCUACAAAGUAAGGGAGAAAAGCUCAAUUGUUGAGCAUGUACUCAGAUUGUCUGAGUGCUACAAUCGCUUGAAUCGAGUGGGAGUUGAUCUUCAAGAUGAGAUAGUGAUGGUUCUCCAAACUGCUACCAAGCUACUAGAGCUUCGUGAUGAACUAUAACAUAUCAAGGAUAGAUAUGAUGAUCGUUGAGCUAUUCGCGAUGUUUGACACCGCGAAAGUAGAAAUCAAGUAGGAGCAUCAAUUGUUGAUGGUUAGUAAAACCACUAGUUUCAAGAAGGGCAGGGGUAAUAAGGGAUACUUGAUGAAGGGUAAACCAGUUGCCGCUCUAGUGAAGAAACCUAAGGUUAAACCCAAACCCGAGACUAAGUGCUUCUAUGAGGGGAACGGUCACUGGACCGGAACUACCAUAGUUACUUGGUAGAUGAGAAGGCUAGCGAAGUCGACAAAAGUAUAUUGGAUAUACAUGAUAUUGAUGUGUACUUUACUAGUAGUCCUAGUAGCACCGUGGUAUUAGAUAUCGGUUUGGUUUCUAAGUGUUAGUAACUCGAAAUAAAAGCAACGGAAUAAACGGAGACUAGCGAAAAGUGAGGUGAUGAUGUGUGUUGGAAGAAAUUUCAAGGUUGAUGUGAUCAAACAUCACACGCUCUCUCUACCAUCAGGAUUAGUGUUAAACCUAAAUAAAUAUUAUUUGGUUGAGCAUGAACAUGAUUAGAUCGUGUUUAUUGCAAUACGAUUAUUCAUUUAAAGAGAAUAAUGGUUAUUAUGUUUGCUUGAAUAAAUACCUUCAAUGGUUUAUUGAAUCUCGAUCAUAGUGAUACACAUGUUCAUAAUAUUGUUGCCAAAAGAUACAAAGUGGUAAUAAUAGUACCACUUACUUGUGGCACUGUCGCUUGAGUCAUAUUGGUGUAAAACGCAUGAAGAAAGCUCCAUACUGAUGGAUCUUUGGACUCACUCGUUUUUGAAUCGUUUGAGACAUGCGAACCAUGCCUAUUGGUAUGAACGCAUGAAGAAACUCCAUGCAGAUGGAUUGUUUGGACUCACUUGAUUUUGAAUCACUGGAGACAUGCAAAUCAUGCCACUCGAGCAAGAUGACUAAAGGCCUCGUUUUCCAGUGAGAUGGACAAGAAAGUAGCUUAUUGGAAGUAGUACAUUUUGAUGUAUGCAGUCAAAUGAGUGAUGAGGCACGCAGUGGAUAUCAUUAUGUUUUUACUUCACAGAUGAUUUGAUUAGAUACUAGUGUAUUUGCUUGAUGAAACACACAUCAGUAUUAUUGAAAGGUUCAAGUAAUUUCAGAGUGAAGUUGAAAAUCGUCGUGACAAGAGGAUAAAAUGUCUACGAUAUGAUCAUAGAGAUGAAUAUCUUAGUUGUGAGUUUGGUACACAAUUAAGACAAUGCAAAAAUUGUUUCACAACUCAUGCCACCUGGAACACCAUAGUGUGAUGGUGUGUCCGAACGUCAUAGCCGCGCCCUAUUGAUAUGGUGCAUACUAUGAUGUCUCUUAUCGAAUUACCACUAUCGUUUAUGGGUUAGGCAUUAGAGACAACCACAUUCACUUUAAAUAGGGCACUACAUAAUUCCGUCGAGAUAACACCGUAUGAACUAUGAUUUGGAGAAACCUAAGCUGUCGUUUCUUAAAAGUUUGGGGCUGCGACGCUUAUGUGAAAAAGUUUCAGCGUGAUAAGCUCGAACCCAAAGCGGAUAGAUGCAUAUUCAUAGGACACCCAAAAAGGUUGGGUAUAUCUCCUAUCUCAGAUCCGGACGCAAAGUGUUUGUUUCUAGAAACGGGUCCUUUCUUGAGGAAAAGUUUGUCUCGAAAGAAUUGAGUGGGAGGAUGGUGAAACUUGAUGAGGUUAUUGAACCGUCACUUCAACAAGUGUGUAGCACGGCGCAGGAAUUUGUUCCUGUGGCGCCUACACCAAUUGAAGUGGAAGCUGAUGAUAGUGAUCAUGGAGCUUCAAAUCAAGUCACUACAAACCUAGUAGGUCGACAAGGUCACAUACUGCUCCAGAGUGGUACGGUAACCCUGUCUUGGAGGUCAUGUUCUUGGACAACAAUGAACCUACGAGCUAUGUAGAAGCGAUGGUGGGCCCGGAUUCCGACAAAUGGUUGGAGGCCAUGAAAUCCGAGAGAGGGUCCAUGUAUGAAAACAAAGUGUGGACUUUGGAAGAACUACUUGAUGGUCGUAAGACUAUUAAGUAUAGAUGGAUCUUUAAAAGGCACGUAGACGAUGAUGGUGAAAAGUCACCAUUAAGAAAGCUCGACUUGUCGCAAAGAUGUUUCCGACAAGUUCAAAGAGUUGACUAUGAUGAGACUUUCUCACUCGUAGUGAUGCUAAGAGUUUGUUGGAAUUAUGUUAGCAAUUGUUGCAUUAUUUAUGAAAUCUUGCAGAUAGGAUGUCAAAACAUUGUUUCAUCGAUGGUUUCCUUGAGGAAAGGUUGUAUGUGAUACAACCAGAAGGUUUUUUCGAUCCUAAGGAUGCUAACAAGUAUGCAAGCUCUAGCGAUCCUUCUAUGGACUGGUGCAAGCAUCUCGGAGUUGGAAUAUACACUUUGAUGAGAUGAUCAAAGUUUUUGGUUUUAUAAAAGUUCAUGAGAAACUUGUAUUUCCAAAGAAGUGAGUGGGAGCACUAUAGAUGUUGUGAUUAGUAUGUGUGGUUGACAUAUUUUUGAUCGGGAAUAAUGUAGAAUUUCUCGAAUGCAUAAAGGGUUGUUUGAAAGGAAUUUUUCAAAGGAAAACCUGGAUUUAGCUACUUGAACAUUGAGCACCGAGAUCUAUGGAGAUAGAUCAAGAUGCUUGAUAAAACUUUCAAUGAAUACAUACCUUGACAAGAUUUUUGAAGGAGUUCAAAAUGGAUUAGUUAAAGAAUGGGUUCUUGACUGUAUUGUAAGGUGUGAUUUUGAGUAAGACUCAAAAAGCCUGACCACGGCAAAAGAAAGAGAAAGGACGAAGGUCGUCCCCUAUGCCAUAGCCGUAGGCUCUAAAGUAUGCCAUGUUGUGUACCGCACCUGAUGUGUGCCUUGCCAUGAGUUUGUCAAGGGGUACAAAGAGUGAUCCAAGAUUGAUCGCUGAACAGCGGCCAAAGUUAUCCUUAGUAACAAGUGGACUAAGGAAUUUUUAUCGAUUAUGGAGGUGAUUAAAGAGUUCGUCGUAAAGAGUUACGUUGAUGCAAGCUUUGACAGUAAUCCGAAUAACUAUGAGUAGUAAACCGGAUUCGUAUAGUGGAGCAGUCAUUUGGAAUAGUUUCAAAGGGCGCGUGGUAGCAGAAUCUAUAGGAUGACAUAGAGAUUUGUAAAGCACACACUGAUCUAAAAGGUUCAUACCCGUUGACUAAAAAAACUCUCUCACAAGCAAGACAUGAUCGAACCCUAUAACUGUAUGGGUGUUAGAUUCAUUAGAAUCACAUAGUGAUGUGGACUAGAUUAUUGACUCUAGUGCAAGUGGGAGACUGUUGGAAAUAUGCCCUAGAGGCAUAUUUAAAUUGGGUAUUAUUAUCUUUCCUUGUUCAUGAUAAUCGUUUAUUAUCCAUGCUAGAAUUGUAUUGAUUGGAAACUCAAAUACAUGUGUGGAUACAUAGACAACACAUUGUCCCUAGUGAGAUUCUAGUUGACUAGCUCGUUGAUCAAAGAUGGUCAAGGUUUCCUCGCAAUAGACAAGUGUUCUCACUUGAUAACGGGAUCACAUCAUCAGGAGAAUGAUCUGAUGGACAAGACCCAAACUAUAAACGUAGCAUAUGAUCGUGUCAGUUUAUUGCUACUAUUUUAUGCAUGUCAUGUAUCUGUUCCUAUGGCCAUGAGAUCAUGCACCUCCCGGACACCGGAGGAAUACCUUGUGUGUAUCAAACGUCGCAACGUUACUAGGUGACUAUAAAGGUGCUCUACAUGUAUCUCCAAAGGUGUCUGUUGGGUUGGUAUGGAUCAGGACUGGGAUUUCUCACUCCGUGUGACGGAGAGGUAUCUUGGGGCCCACUCGGUAAAACAACAUCACAAUAAACCUUGGAUGCAAUGUGACUAAGGAGUUUGUCACGGGACCUUGUAUUAUGGAACGAGUAAAGAGACUUGCUGAUAACGGUAUACAGAUUGCUACAGACUGGUCUGCUGUUAACAGAUUCUGUUUUUGUUGUGUUGGUUGCUUAUUUUUAUGAAACUAUGGAUAGUAUCGGGGUGUAUUUGCCAUGGAAGAUUGAAAAUACAGUAACCCAACAUCAGCAUAAGUAGAAUUUAAGUUUGCUACAGUACCUAAGGAAGUGGUGGUUUGCUUUCUUAUACUAAUGUUAUCACGAGUUUCUAUUUAAGUUUCGUGUUGUGAAGUUUUCAAGUUUUGGGUGAAGUUCUUAUGGACAAAAAUAUAAAGAGUGGCAAGAGCUCAAGCUUUGGGAUGCCCAAGGCACCCCAAGAUAUUCAAGGAUGUCGCAAAACUCUAAGCUUGGGGAUGCCCCGGGAAGGCAUCCCCUCUUUCGUCUUCAAAUCCAUCGGUAACGUUACUUGGGGCUAUAUUUUUAUUCACCACAUGUUAUGUGCUUUGCUUGGAGCGUCUUGUAUCAUAGGAGUAUUUUAUUUUUGUUGUGUCACAAUCAUCCUUGCUGCACACCUAGAGAGAGAGACAUGCACUCACCGUGAUUUUGUUGUGCUUCACUUAUAUCUUUUGAGCUAGAUGCUUUUGCUCUAUGUGCUUCACUUAUAUCUUUUAGAGCACGGCGGUGCGUGGCUUGGUAGUUGAUCUAUGCUUUGAAAGUAGUCUCAAAGGGGGUAGUUAUCCAAAGGGAUAUGAAAACUUCCACCUUCAUGUGCAUUGAAUAGUUAGAGAAGUUUGAUUCAUCUCAAUUAGUUUUGAGUUGUGGUUAUGGUAAUAUUGAAGUUAUGCUAGUAAGGUGUUGUGGAUCUAGAAAUACUUGUGUUGAAGUUAGUGAUUCCCGUAGCAUGCACGUAUGGUGAACCGCUAUGUGAUGAAAUCUAAGCAUGAUUAGUCUAUUGAUUGUCAUCCUUUGUGUGGCGGUCGGGAUCGCGCGAUGGUUUAUACCUACCAACCCUUCCCCUAGGAGUAUGCGUUGAAUGCUUUGUUUCGAUUACUAAUAAAACUUUUGCAACAAGUAUAUGAGUUCUUCAUGACUAAUGUUGAGUCCAUGGUUUAGAUGCACUUUCACCUUCCACCAUCACUAUCUUCUUAGUGCCGCGCAACUUUCGCCGGUGCACAAAACCCACCAUUUGCCUCCCACAAAGCAGCCACCAUACCUACCUACUAUGGCUUUUUCAAAGUCAUUCCGAGAUAUAUUGCCAUGCAACUACCACCAUGACAUGUGCCACCACUUCCACAUUGCCAUUGCAUGAUCGUAAGAUAGCUAGCAUGAUGUUUCCAUUACUGUCUAUGCCAUGCUAGAUCAUUGUCACGGUACACUACCGAAGCCAUUCCAUAUAGAGUCAUCGUUGCUCUAAGUUUUGAGUUGUAAGUGUGAUGAUCAUCAUUGAUGGAGCAUUGUCCCAUGUGAGGAAAUAAAAGAGGCCAGCGAAGCCCAUAUACAAAAAGAGGCCAAAGAUGCCCACCAAAAUAAAAA